AAUUUGGACAAGAAAAUUGGCUUCCAGGUGGAAAAAUCAAAAUUAGAAACAGAACUGUUAGAACCCAAAACCAAGAUUUUGUCAAGGAUGUAUAACUUGCUGUUGAAAUGGAAUACUCAGGAUGAAACGGUGAAAUCUGCUAUGAUUAAAUGGGCACAAGAUGUUGGACAUAACAUAAUGAUGGCUGACUGGGAACAGUUAUGGACCACAGGUAUGAAGUUUACGGCAUGUAAUGCCUUAAGAGAGAAUAUUAUGAAAAUGAUUUACAAGUGGUACAUGACCCCAGUCAACCUUGCAAAAAUUUAUCAUUUGCCCAAUAAUAAAUGUUGGAAAUGUAAAGAGACUGAAGGUACAUUCUUUCACCUUUGGUGGACAUGCCCAAGGAUCAAGGCUUUCUGGGAGAUGAUCUAUAACGAAAUGAAAAAGGUAUAUAAAUAUACCUUCCUGAAGAACCCAGAGGCCUUUCUCCUGGGCAUGGUUGGCCAAUUGGUGCCAAAGAAGGACAGAACUUUCUUUAUGUAUGCCACAACAGCAGCAAGAAUACUUAUUGCAAAGUAUGGAAGACACAAGAUCUACCCACUCUGGAAGAAUGGCAGAUGAAGGUGAUGGACUAUAUGGAAUUGGUGGAAAUGACUGGCAGAAUCCGAGACCAGGGAGAAGAGUCGGUGGAAGAAGAUUGGAAGAAAUUUAAAGACUAUUUACAGAAAUACUGCAAAAUUAAUGAAUGUUAGAAUGAUGUCAGAAUGAAGUUAACUGGUCUUAGCAGCAAUGUUAUAAAGGUGUAUGUAAAAAUGGAUUGUUAACAGAUGAGAAUCCAAAGUUAUAAUAUAUUAAGUUAAAGGAUUAAGACAAAAACAAAGAGGGAAAGGAAUUGCUGAAUUAACUAAUUGAACUGGAAUACAAAAAAGGGAGGUGUGAGGAGGUCAGGGAAACAAGGAAAUGAAAUGUAAGACAUGGAAAGAUUGAUUUGUUUUUAAGGGUUUUUUUAUCUUUUUUCUGUAUUUUGUAUUUUUUCUUUUUUUCUUUUCUUCUUAUCUAUGUACUUAUUUUAUUUAUUUUUUUAAACCUUAAUAAAUGUCAUUUUUUUUAAAAAAAGUACCUUUGAAGGUGACUCCAACUAAUCCAGAAUGCGGCAGCUAGACUGGUAACUGGGAGUGGCCACCAAGACCAUAUAACACCAGUCCUAAAGGAUCCCUGUAUGUUUCCGAGCACAAUUCAAAGUGUUGGUGCUGACCGUUAAAGCCGUAAAUAGCCUUGGCCCAGUAUACCUGAAGGUGUGUCUCCACCCCCUGGGCACUGAGGUCCUCCUCCGAGGGUCUUCCGCUGGUUCCCUCACUGUGAGAAGUGACGUUACAGGGAACCAGGCAGAGGGUCUUCUCGGUAGUGGUGCCCUCCCUGUAGAAUGCCUUCCCUUCAGAUGUCAAGGAAAUAAAACAACUAUCUGAUUUUAGAAGACAUCUGAAGGAAGCCUUGUUUAGGGAAGUUUUUAAGGGUUGAUGUUUUUAUUAUGUUUUUAGAUAUGUUGUAAGCUGCCCAGAGUGGCUGGGGAAACCCAGCCAGAUGGACGGGGUGUAAAUUAUUAUUAUUAUUAUUAUUAUUAGUAGUAGUAGUAGUAGUAAUAGUUGUAGUAGUAGUAGUAAGUGAACUUAACUGGAAAAAGUGCUGAAUUGUCAAAAUUGUGUGAGGUGAACAGAUAAACAGAAUUAGAACCGACUGCAAAUUUUGCAUGCAGAAGACAUGAUUUAAAAAUUAUGUUGUUGUUGUUUUUAAAAAAUGGUGGGUUGUUAAAGCAUCUUUUCUACUGUGGGAAUAUCACUUGGUCAUCCAGGGAGACAUCAGUAUAAGCAGAACUUCAGACAUAUCCCUGUUUCUGUAUGAAGAUAUGUAGCUGUUCUGUGGUUUUCCUCGACCAGCUUCUCCAUCUGUGGGUGGGGUCAUGAACCACAUGUCCAUUAGUAAGACUGAAGCCAAAAUAUAUUACAGACCUCAAAAACUGUCCCAAGUGUACUGUGAAAAGAACAUAGUUGGAAAACCGUGAUAGAGACUUGCUUGUCCAAUGGAUAAAUAGUCCCCUGUGUGACAGAAUAAACCCAGAAUACCUGGCAGGUAUAUGCUAUCAUGAUUUAUGCUUGCACUUCAUAGCUAAGAUUGCUGUCUGAGAGACUAGGAAACACUUCCCUAAGUGAAAAUCAAAGUACCUCUCUUGGCCCCCAGGCAAAAGUAAUAGUUGCUUUUUUUCUCUCCUUUAACUUUUCCUUUACUGCAAAAGAAUAGUUUAGCUUUUUGUUAUAUUAUAAUGUCUUCAGUCUUUUCUGUCGAACAGUAGAAAGCUUUGGAUUUCCAAAUCAUCAGAACACACAGAAAUUACUGGAGCUACUGAACAACAGAAUGCUAAAAUGAAAUCACAAAUAGUUCAUUGUGAAGAUCCAAUGUAGUAGACAAAGGUCACAAAUACAAGUCCAUGCUGUAUUCGCAUUUCUACAAAUCCUGGAACUACACAAAACUUAUUUCAGGGCUCAGCCAAAUCUAGCAUCUUGAUGAAAAGUGUUGCACUGCAGUAUUGAUUCAAAAGAGGAGUCUCAAAUUCCACUGACUGAACUCAAGCAGCACUGUUUUGGCGCAGUACAUAAUGACACACUCUUUAUUGGCUAGGAUCCUAAACCAUGAACUCAUGCAAGGCGAAACUGAGACUGCUGUUUGCAUAUGUCUGCCUCAGGAGAAAAUGGAAGAGUGUGCCUUCAAGGAUGAGUAGCAGCAGGGCGCACCUUCUCAGCAUGAGUAGCAGGAGCAAAGUCGGUUCAUCCUCAACAGCUUGGUGGCUGAUCCCUCCUCUCUCCAUCUUCUAGCUAUGUCACAUGGUAUUGUGAACAGUGCUGAAAACACCUCCUGCCCAUUCUUUGAAUUUAUGGGGAAAGAUCAAAAGGCUUUAAUGAGUUAUUGUGAAUGUGCCCUGCUUCUCUGAAGCAGCUUUAUUCCCAUGAAACGGGUCAUCCUGUAGUGUCCAGCAAAUUGUCAGGUAGCCCUAUGUAAUUUUCAGAAAUUGAAUUAUUAAUUCAUAAUUCUCAGAAAGCUUACCUUCCUGCACCUUUAGCCUUUUCUACAGCUUGACUUGGCUUUCUUCCUCUCACUCUUUUCUUCCUUUUCAAUUUAAAUAAUAAAUGGCCACUCUUAGUCCCUUCAUUUUUAAAUUGUCAAGCAAGGAGAGACUACGACCUUCUAACAUGCACUUCUCCAGUAACAAACCUGUUGCUGUUGCUAUGGUAAAAGGUGGUCCCCAAAUGCUGAACCUUGGAACUGUUUACAGUGAAGAAAUGAUUUCCCAUAAAGAGAAGCUCUGUAAAUCAUCAGACAAAGAGCUCACAAAUAAUUACAAAUUAAUCGGCUCAUCUGAAAUAGUGCUGGUCAUGGAUUUACGGCGCAAGGGCAAGUGGGCCACAUUGUGUCACAUACAUAGGGACAACAUAAUAAAUGCAUGGCCAUGGCAGGUCACAGAUCGUAAGAAAUAAAUAUGUACCAGGCUAGUUUCUAAUGAAAAUCUUUUUAGAAUGACUUGUUGACAUAACAGGCAUUAGGAGAUGGGAGCUUUCAAUAGAAGGGACUGGAACAAUUUUGUUUCUAUGCUUGAAUUGAGUUCUGUGGUCUUCUGAAAUGCUUAGAGUGCUAGAACGACAUAUUAAUGCUCUGCUUUGGAAAAUCUGGAAUAUGCUUCAGCAAGUUUUGCAUCCAGAGAAGAAGCAUUGUGGCAGGAGCAUUACAUACUAAGGGUUUUAAUCCGGGUUGACAUAAUGUCCUAGGAUCUGCCCAGCCUAUGAUGAUGCAGGCUCUUUCUUAAGAAUGUGGAAGAAAUCUUUAUUGAGGGAGAAAAGAAAUUCAAGCUCAGCAACACAUAAUGAGUCCCAGAAGCUGCUGUGGUCAGGCUAGAUGACAAGAAAAGGGGUGCCAACAUUGAGGAGCAAUGGUCUACAUUUAAGGAGUCCAAGGUCAGGGCAAGGAGUUUAAAACUGCAGGAAAAUUUCUGUGUUUUCCCAGUGGGUUGGCUCACACGCUCUGCCAUGCUUUUAAAGAUGGGGAAAAGUGAAACUACUACUACUACUACUACUAUUAAAAUUGUUAGUCAUUUUAUCUUGCCCAAGGCAACCCAAAGAGUCUUACAACCAACCAACCAACCAACCAACCAAGCAGACAAAAAAUAUCCCACCCAUUUCUAGAUGGCCAUAGAAAGUUAAAAGCCAAAUGCUUGGUUGCAGAGGAAAGGUUUUGCCUGGCACCCAAACAUAUAUAAUGAUGGCAUCUGACAAGCCUCCCUGGGGAGAGCAUUCCACAAACAGGGAGCCACUGAAGAAAUAGCUAGUUUUCAUGUUGCUACCCACUCUCUUGGAGGGGGCACAUGAUGAAAGGCCUCAGACACAGAUGAUCACAGGGUCUGUGUCAAUUCAUAGGGGGAGAGUUGGUCCUUGCAGUAUUGUGGUCCUAAGCCAUUUAAGGCUGUAUAGGUCAAAACCGGCACGUUGAACUGGGAAACUGGCAGCCAGUGUAGUCAGACAAGGAUAGGUGUACUAUGCUCAAACCAUCUUGCUUCAGUGAACAACCUGUCUGCUGAAUUCUGCACCAGCUGAAGUUUCUGAACCAUCUUCAGAGAUAGCCUUUCUUAUAAUGCAUUGCAGUAAUCUAGGUCCAGGAGGCAAUAUCACUGGUGUACUGUAUAUAACAUUGUUUACUAGACUUUAAAACAGAGUGCAGUAUCCAACAAAGUCACACUCAGUAGAAUCACAACUAGGAAGGGUGCUGCUCUGGCCCGUUCCUCCUUACAGGGUUCCCAUAGGCAUCUGGUUGGCUACUCUGAGACCAGGAUCCUAAAACUGAUGGGCCCUGGGCUUGAUCUAGCAAGGCUCUUCUUAGGUUCAGUGAAGACUCAAUGAAAGUUUUAAACAGGGGGGUGGAAAGCAAUGCUGCUUGAAUUAGCACACGAAAUAGCUUUAAAGGCUCUUCAAUUAAGCAUAUAACUUAGGCAUGGUGGAGUUUUACCUUUAGGUGCAGUGCUGUGCAAAAAAAAAAAAAAUCAUUCAAGCGUCUCAGCGGAGAAUGAGAAAUCAUGAAGUAUGAAAUCGGACCAAAGUUUCAUUCUUUUCUUCUUCUUCUUCUUCACAGGAUGCAAUUGUUUAACAAAUGACAUUUGGUAAUAUAUGUAAUUGCCAAGUUUACUGCUCAUUACUUCUUUUUAAAAAACAAGAAAAAUAGUAAGAGGUCUUUGAUUUCCUUAAAUAAGAAAAUAAUUUUCAUUAUAAAGGUUAAAACAAAAUAAGUGAUCUUUCUUUCUAAAUUUAAUGGUUUAGUUCCUGCUUCUGUGUGAUAUUUAAAUUUUGUGGAUUAGCAUUUCAAUUACAUCUGGGCAGACUUUUCAAAAGCUGACUUGAAAGGUGAACUGUUAAUUUUACUCUGUAAAAUGAUUUCCAACCCCUCCCCCUCCCCACACAUAAUGUUUUGUUGAAAUCUCUUGGAAUCUCCUGAGAUAAAUGGUGUCAGAUGUAACUUAGCACAGUAAUUUGGUUUCUAUUUGUGCACCAUUUUAUGUCAUGUACUACAGUUCAACCUUUCAGUCCAAAUGGUCUAUGGAGACAUCCAAGGCAGGUGAAUGACAAGACCUGUGCUUCAUUCUCUUGUGGAGCUGUCUGAGAAGACUGACAGGAAACUUAAGAUAGUGCAAAAUCUAGUGGCUCCGCUCCUGCUGGGGGUGGGGAUGGUCACCAAUUUGCAAUGCUCCACUGUUGGAACUAGAUUAGACACAGGUUCUAGCUUUAACACACAUUAUCUUGAAUUAGGUUUGAUUCAUACCCAAUUUUGGCACUCUGAAAAACAGACCUAUUUGGCUUAGACUAACUUAGAGGUUGCCCAGUUCAUCCCAGGUGGUCUGUGCUGGUUUAUUUACUCCACCCAUGUUGAAAACUGGGGGAAAUGGCUAUAACAUCCCACUUUUGACAGAAAUGGAUAAAAUUUGCAGGUGUAGUAGUUUCUGCAGAGACAAUAAAGUCUGCUAAACUACAGGGGACAAAGGUUUAGUGGUUUUUGUGCUGAACGCUUCUAAAAUGUGGCUUUCCUCACAAAAGUAUUUCUUUAAAAAAUUGGCCAGAAUAGGAUGAAAAUUGCAGGCAAAAUUGUAUUUCUGAAGGCAUGAAUCUAAUCAAAUUCCAGAAGGCUGGGUGCAGUGGUUUUCUUGCAAGGACAGAUGUUACAAUUUAAGGGUAGAUGAAAAAGAAAAUGUAAUUUACUUGUUUUGUGGGCAAUUAGUAUGAAAAUUGUAGAUGUGAGAGGCAUGUUCCUGAGCAAUAAACCUGCAAAAUUUCAGACAAAUGGAUGAGCCCAAAGUUACUAACAAAUUUAAUAAAUAAUAAUAAACAAACAAUAAUGAAUGAGGACUCCUGGACAGUUAAGCCCAGUCAAAGGUGACUAUGGGGUACAGUGCUCAUCUCACUUUUCAGGAUGAGGGAGCCAGCAUUCAUCCACAGACAGCUUUCUGGGUCAUGUGGCUAUCAUGACUAAACCACUACUGGUGCACAGAGGAUUGUGACGGAACCCAGAGCACAAGAAAAUGCCAUUUACCUUCCCGCUGCAGUGGUACCUAUUUAUCUACUUGCACUGGUGUGCUUUUAACUGUUAGGUUAGCAGACGCUGGGACAGAGCAACAGAAGCUCACUCCGUCACGCAGAUUUGAACCGCUGACCUUCCAACUGGCAAGCCCAAAAGGCUCAGUGGUUUAGACCACAGCAUCACCCUCUCCCUUACAACAUAAGGAAUAAACAGUGACACAACAUAACUUAUUUGGAAGUCCUACUGAAUUCAAUAGAUUGAGUGCAGAGUAGAUACGGAUAGGUUAGGUUUGCAUUAUCAGUCCCCGUACCUAUGUUCAAGACUGGUUUUGUUCUUGUGUUCCUGUACAAAUUGUUAAAUUGAGAGUAACUUCCUUAUUGUUUAAUCCAUGACACAUGUUUGACUAUUCACCCCCGAACUAUAGAACCCUCUUUCCUUGGAGAAUUCCUUAAUCUGUGGGGAUUUUUUUUAUGAAAUCAAAAUUUUAUUUUUACAGAAACAUUAAUGUUGAGUACUGGUUUUAGUUUUAGUUACAAACUGCUAUAAUUUCUCUCUUUCUUAUUAUAUGUUUGUUUCAUUCUGAUCACAAAUUACCCAGAAAACUUCAAUUAAAGGGUGGCAUAGCCUGUGAAUCUGACAGGUGAACAUGAAAAUAAAAUAUAUUGUUGUACUACUGGUUCAGUUAUAUUUGCAGUGGAGAGGUUAGUUGAACAUUCACAGUUGUGAUGUGGUUUAAUUCUAGGCCAUGAAUGAUUAAAAAAUGCCACAGGACCGUACAUAUUUUCACCUAAUAAAGGGCAAGCAAGGUACAAACACAUGUUUAAUUAAAGAAAGUCUUUAAUCUUUCCCAUCUAAAUAUGAACUUGAUACUAAGGGAAUAAUGGGAAAGCUCAGGGUGCUUGCGAGAAAGAGGAAAUGCUACCUCUGGAGAUCUCAUAGCAGCUGAUGCCAUUCUUAUUUUCUAUUCUCUUCACAAUUACCCUUUUGACAACUCUGGAGACAAGAUAUUUUAUCUUCCCCUCAUUCCAUAACUCUAGGGGAAUCCAGGAGCAAAUAAGCCCAUUUUGUUUCUAAGGGAAUGAACACUCUCAAUAGUCUGUUAAAAGUCAGCCACUUCCCAGGGUAACAAAAUUACAUAGAGUUCUGAUGAAACUAAUCUCACAUGGGCUUAAAGCAGGAACACGUGAAGCUGGUUUUUUUUAAAAAGGAAGAAUGUGUACAAUGAGUGGGGGGGGGACCCCAGCAUGAUGAGAACGAUAUGAGUUUGCUCCUUAAAAUGGAUGGAGAACUCAUGUACCUUGAUACAAGCAAUACUUCUCCUUUCCUCCAGGUUGUUUUCUUAUGUGUUACAAAAUAUGUCAUUCUGUACUUAGCAGGCGAGAUCCUGUUAGCAGUGCUGCCGAUGAGUGGGCUGGCAGCACACAGGAAGGCCUUCUCAGUGGUGGCCUCUAGGCUGUGGAAUACCACUGUGAUAUCUCUUCCAAUCAUUGUAUAAUGUUCAGAGAUUAGUAAAGGCACAUGUCUUGGCUCAGGCUUUUGGGAAGAGAUGUCGGAAGACAUUUCUUCCCCUGCUGUUCUGCGGUUGCAAUUUGAUUACUGUUUUCAUUUGUUAUUGAUAACUGUUGUAUGGGAGGUUUGUAUAUUGGUUGCAUAUAUGCACUUAAGGGGAAGGUGGGUUGGAAAUGUAUGCAAUAAAAAAUAAAUGAAAUGAAAUUGGCUCUGCAACUUUGUGACAUGCCAAGUGUGACGGUGCAAGUUUAGAAAAUUGGUGCAAGUUUUGAUGUUUGUGUCUAUUAUUUUAACUCUUCAAAAGGCUUAAAUUGAUUUUUUUUAAAAAUCUUAUUGACAAAUUGAUAGAUUUAUUAUUUACCAAAAGAAACUGAGGGGUUGUUUUGCAAUCAAGCAGUGCAUAGCAUAAAUUUUAUGAAAGAAGUCUGGGUUGAACAAUGUUAUUAAUUAUGAUAUCUGAUCAAGGGCAGAUUAACUAUAUGGGGUGUGAUCCUGAAGCUAGCCAAAGACUGGCUUGGAGAAGAUGUUAUUGAUGGUUCAGUGGGAGAACAGCAUUUACCCUGCCAGAUGCUCCUCAGGACAUUUUACAUAUCACUGGGGAAGGCAGGCUAACUAAUGGCAGUGUACUGGAAGAAGCAAAGAUCACCAGUGUCGAAGCAAUGAUUCUUCAGCAUCAACUUUGCCGGACUGGUCAUGUUGUUUGAGUGCCUGAUUAUCAUAUUCCAAAGCAACUACUCUAUUCCCAACUUAAGAAUGGAAAGCGUAAUGCCAGUGGACAACAAAAGAGGUUUAAAGACACUCUCAGGGCAAAUCUUAAAAAAAAUAUAAUAGUGUAAACACCAACAACUGGGAAACACUGGCCUAUGAGCACUCCAAUUAGAGAAUAGCCUCUACCAAAGACAUCAUGGACUUUGAAGAAGCAUGAACUCAUGACAAAAGGGAGAAACCAGGUAAGAAGGAGGCACUGGCCUGGUGGAAGACUGACUAUAUAGCAUGCUAUGAGUUAGGAAUGAUUGGGAGGAAAGAGAUACAAAGGUGGUGAGGAGGAUGUAUGUUUUUUGGCAACGCAACACAGACAUCUCAAUAUCAAGACAUACUUCUACACCUGCAGAAAUCUCCAUCAGCAGCAAGGUGGUUGUAAAAUCCCUGGGGCAUAUGAGGGACAGCUGAGGAACUGCUGGAUGCUAAGUCUCGUCCUUCACCUGAAGCAGUAAGUGUUGGUAGCUCUGCCAUGCAAUCCCUCCUGUCAACGCAGGGUCCUAAGUGGACCCUUUUUCUACAAGCCUCAGUACAGGAUGAUAUACCAACUACAAAGGUACCAGGGAGAGGGAGGAGGGAAUGCCUACUGAUUCCAAAUUUGGUAACACACCCCACCAUAGCUCUGAUAUGUAAAUCUAUAAAUCUAUUUACAUAUAAUGUAUGCAUUUUAAUGAACCGUUCAUUGUAUAGAAUUAAGGUGAAAAGAGAUGAUGAUGAUGAUGAUGAUGAUAAUAAUAAUAAUAAUAAUAAUAAUAAUAAUUUAUACCCCACCCAUCUGGCUGGGUUUCCCCAGCCACUCUGGGCGGCUUCCAACGAAAGAUUAAAAUACAUUAAGGAAAAUAUAUUAUAGUGCGAGUCCAUGCCAUGAUGGGCAUUGAACAGAAGGAAAUCCACUUGAUAGUCCCUAUUAGCUUCCUUCAACACUUUAGUAGGCAGUGAAAGUUAAAAACAGAUCAGUGGUAGAUUGCUUCUACAUAGGAGUAUCAAGAUCAAGUAAUUUGAAAGUCCAGGAUCUGCGUGUUGGUUGGGAAAGAAUUGUAUUACCAUUCCUACCCAUUACCAUUUCUGUCUUUGUGAGUUUUAUGGAUUUUUAAAAAAUAAAUCAGCUCUUGAAAUGACAUUUGAGGUCAAUAAAAAUGUAUUAAAGUUAUCUAUGAAUGAAGUCAGAUCUAAACGCCCUUUAAGAAAUGUCCUUUAAGAAAAAUAAAUGCUUUGGCCUGAGUUGUAAAUAUGAAAAGCAACAACAACCAUCUAUUCAUGAUAAUGUGACCUGGAACAGCAAGCCAGCCAUGGAAAUUCAGCUUCAGCUUUUAUAGCUCCACCCAUCUCUGAUACCAUUUGUAUAGCUUUUUUUGUUUUGUACAUAUUUCACUUCAUGACUGUAAAAUCAUGUGUGAAUAAGCAAUCACAGCUCAAACACCCAAGACAGAGCUUGCAGGCAGCGCCCCCCCCCCGGGGUUAAUCAAGGGUACGCAGUACUGGCACCUCUUUUGUUGUUGUUAAAAAGUGUGGCACUUACUUCAUGGUGAGUACCAGCACCUCUCUUUUUUAGUUAAAAAGUGUGACACUUACUGUAACAACUUCAUGGUGAGUACUGGCACCUACUUUUCUAGAAAAAAAGCACUGUUUGCAGGACACCUAGUAACCCCAAGCACUGUUUGUGUGAACUGAAUCCUGAUUUUUGAGAGUCUGUGUGGAAACUACAUCCAAACAUCAACACAAGAAAUCCAAAGAUUAAGUAUUCAUUUUAGCAGGCUGUGAACUGGAGUCCAGAAGCUUGACCAACCAAGCCACCAAAGACAACUCCAGAUGCCCAUAUUUUCCACUUUUCUCUCUGCUGAAUUUUGAAAAGAUCCUAUUCCAAACUCAAGGUACCACUUCUUCAUAUUUUACAUAUGCCUAUAUACUAUUCAACCAACCCUACACUUGGGGAUGAAUUCUCAACAUUCCAAAGAGCCAUGAUUUAUAGGCUUGCCAUAUGGUGUCAAUAAAUAAACUUCAGUGGGUAUCUUGUAUUCCCUGAAACAUACAUCAACACAUAUAAUUAAACACCAAUUAAGCCACCAAUUAAAGCGGGCAUACAAGAAGCGGGUUUUCCCUCUAGUCAGCUGGAAUUGGCUGGCUCUGCUUUCAGCAUUUGACUGAUUGGUGGCCAUUUAAAGUAUACGCAACAAGGAACGCAGAGAUACUGUAGUUAGCUAAAAUAAUAAUAAAAAACCCACACAGCACACAUUAGCAAUAUAACUUCCAUAGUAGAACAAUGAGACACUCUGCUAAAGUCUGGGAUGCUCUUUUAGUGCACUGCUAAUUAUCUGUGGUUAUCAGAAAAUGAAACGACAUAACUCAUUUUCAGAAGUACAGAAAUCCAUCGUGGUUUAUAAAAACUUAUUUCUGGUUCUGAUGUGUAAACAGAAAAGAGAGAGAAGAGCUUCAGCAGAGCAUCAAAGAAUAAUACUUGCCACCACUGGAGAUGGUUCUGUUAGGGCAAAUGGGGCACUGCUUACUAACCCCAGUCUUCUCCCAGCUUCUUCAUACCUGUCUCCCUUCCUACCAGGGCUGGUCCAAUGCAUUUUAGCACCUCUAGUGAACCACAAAAUGGUGCCUUCCUCCCUGCCAGGGGUGAGUGAAGAUCUGCAUCAGGAAAAUGGAAGGAAUAAAGAUUUACAUUGGGACCUGCUGCUCCUUGGAUCCUGCUGCCUGCGGCGGCUGCCCCAUAUUGUCUCAUGGGUGGGCCAGGCUUCUUCUUACUUACAGCUGCCCAAGGCAGUGUCUUUUUACAGUCUCAGAGUUGUCCUUGUAGAAUGAGGUUGCCAGAUUUCAAAAAAGAAGACCCCAAAAUCGUUGAACUUUUUUUUUUACACCCCCCCCCAUGAUUUUUUGGUUUCCUUGCCGAAGAUCCAGGACAAACUGCUGCCUUCCAGAAAUUCCCCCAGGACGUUUACUUCCCCAUUUGAAAUCACGUUAAUGUCUGGGAAUUUCCAGACGUAUGGCAGUCCUAUGUAGAACUCAACUGGCAGGAGGAUGGGGACAAAACUACAAUAAGUUGGCUCUGCCUAUCAUUGGCUGUGGCUCCACCUAUUCUAGCAAUCCCAGCCUAUCCUGCUUGCCCCCCCCCCCAAGGCACCAAGUUAUAUGCUAGUUACAGCAUUUGGGGAGACCUUAAAUAGUCUGCUUAUCACCACCCAUUCACUAUACUGGCCCCCUGUUGAGUACAAUCUAACAUCUUGAAAGUACUCCCUGGUGAGGUGACACAUGGCACAUUUUAAACUGUACUGAUUCCCCCAUCGCACUUGCCUCCUGUUUGUUUAUUCAGUGCAAUUUUGAUGCUAAGCAACAGGCAAUUUCAAAUUUGCUUUUGCUUAUAUAGAAUGCCCUAAGCAAAUGAACAGCGACCCGUACACUCCCAAUUCCUCUCCCGUACUCUCUCAGAUCACGGGUAACCCAAACUGCAUAUGGUUGAAUUUCUAACAUAUGAAAUUAUCUGUUAUCAAGAUAGUGUAGGCAAAAGAAAAGGAAAAGAGAGUGCUUCUCCUUAGAUCAAAAUGUUGGAAUAUAAUAAAUUUCACUGCAGCUUGAUAGUGAUAUGUCAGUACUGUGAUGGUGUGCAUUUAUUUCAGUUCAUAGCCUGGUUUAUACCAAGGACUGAGGGAAAGUGAGAGCAAUUGUACAUGAUACAAGCAGCCUGUAUCCUUUUCUCUUUUUUACUGCGUUUAUUUCACCAAAAUGUAUGCAAGUUGCUUUGUGUAGCCAUUUUAAUUUCAUGUUGUUGAAAACUAUGGUUGCACAAUAAAAUUCUACGUUUACUUCUAGAGCUGCUGCUGAUACUACUCCUGCAUUUGGAUUUAUUGAUAAAUGUAUUUAUGCAUUAUAAAGCACGUAUAUCUUCAAGGAAGGGCCACAAGUCAGUGAAAGAGCAUCUGUUUUGCCUUUGGAAGGUCUCAGCUUCAACCCCUGACGUCUCCAAGUAGGGCUAAGAGAGACCCUUUUCUGAAAUCCUAGAAAGCUGCUGUCCAUAUAGACAAUACUGAGAUGGAUGGAUCAGUGGUCUCAUUCACUGUAAAGCAGAUUCUUCCUAAAUUCUCCAAUGGCUAGUCUGUCCUCCCUUUAAGGAGCUCAGCUCACUGAACAGUACUUUUUGUGUUCCUUCAUUCUUGUAGCCUAGCUGUGUUGAAGGUUAGGCUGAGAAAUGGCAACUGAGCCAAAGUCAUUCAAUGGCCUUCAUGGCUGCAUAAGGAUUUAAAUUUAGGCCAUUGGUCACCCAGCCCAACACAAUCCACUAUGAACUUAGUAUUAUCUUAUCUACUAUAAAUUACCUCUGGAUGAAAGGCAAAUGUAGGAGUUAGUCCCUGAUGUUAAUUGCUCUAUCAUUUUCCCCCUGGUUCUUCCUUAUAUAAGUUCAUAUCUUUCAUAAACUUCAGCAGUAAAACUAACUAUGCUACAGAAUAGAAGAUAUCAAUGAAAUUUCCUUACAAAUUGUUUUUCUUUCCUUUCUCUCAUUUUAUUUUGAAAAUGAUUAAUAUUAUCUGCAACAGUCUGCAGGAUUUCUUGGGCAUUGAAAAGAUAUUCAAGCAACAUGAAAAUGCUUAGCUGUCUAUAUAUUCUGUGACCAAUCAGAGCGAGUAGUGUGGUUCCCUUUAAGGGUGGCAUUGCCUCAGGAAUGGCCACUUCAGGCCAGUACAACAGCCCACCAACCCAAAUUUAGUCAACCUUCGUCACAGUGCUCUUGGGGCCAUGAAGUCUGAAAGCCAGCCAGUGGCAGCCUGUCUCAACUCACAUUAUAUUCUUCAACCUUGGAUCUUCAGAUGUUGGAAUCCAGCUCUCAUAAUCCACAGCAAUCUUAGUGAACAAUCAAAGGUGAUGGGAGUCUCUGCCCAACAAUCUCUGGGAGCCUGAGGUUGAAUAACACUUUUUGUCGUUGUUGUUGUUUAGUCGUUUAGUCAUUUAGUUGUGUCCGACUCUUUGUGACCCCAUGGACCAGAGCACGCCAGGCACUCCUGUCUUCCAGUGCCUCCUGCAGUGGAAUUGAUGGCAGAAAGUGAGGAGGAAUUAAAGAACCUUUUAAUGAGGGUGAAAGAGGAGAGUGCAAAAUAUGGUCUGAAGCUCAACAUCAAAAAAACAAAGAUCAUGGCCACUGGGCCCAUCACCUCCUGGCAAAUAGAAGGGGAAGAAAUGGAGGCAGUGAGAGAUUUUACUUUCUUGGGCUCCAUGAUCACUGCAGAUGGUGACAGCAGUCAUGAAAUUAAAAGACGCCUGCUUCUUGGGAGAAAAGCAAUGACAAACCUAGACAGCAUCUUAAAAAGCAGAGACAUCAUCUUGCCAACAAAGGUCCACAUAGUUAAAGCUAUGGUUUUCCCAGUAGUGAUGUAUGGAAGUGAGAGCUGGACCAUAAAGAAGGCUGAUCACCGAAGAAUUGAUGCUUUUGAAUUAUGGUGCUGGAGGAGACUCUUGAGAGUCCCAUGGACUGCAAGAAGAUCAAAUGUAUUCAUUCUUAAGGAAAUCAGCCCUGAGUGCUCAGUGGAAGGACAGAUCCUGAAGCUGAGGCUCCAAUACUUUGGCCACAUCAUGAGAAGAGAAGACUCCCUGGAAAAGACCCUGAUGUUGGGAAUGAUGUAGGGCACAAGGAGAAGGGGACAACAGAGGACGAGAUGGCUGGAUAGUGUUUUUGUCGUUAGUUAGUGAUAAAAUGCUCAAAUCAGUCAACAAUGGGUGCUCAGCUUUCAGCCAGGGUGGUUUCAUCCACUGAAGGAGAUAGAUGGAAAUUUCCAGCUACCUUCUCAUGAUAUAUAUGCCACUCAUGCUAAGGAGUUGCCUUUAUAUGGCUGCAGAUCAUUUAAGAAGUCAGAUUUCUAUGAGUCAGUUCUAAGUAUUAGCUUCCCACUGACAUUUCAAACAAGAAUAAGAAACUUCUGCUGUGAAAUAGGUUUUGUCAUUGAAAGCUUUGAGUGCACACCAGUCAGGAAGUUGGACAACAAAUUACUGUUACUUUCAAACAAGAACAAUAUAGCAAUCAGAAACUUUUGAUUUCACAACUAAAUCCAGGGCCACCUAAUAACAUGACACUAUCCACACAUUUCAAAUGUGUGGAGGAAUGGUACAAGCAAAACCAAUUAGAAGCCAGUUGGACAGUAAAUAUGGGAUUCGACUUUUACAAGUGCGGUCAUCUUUCUUUCUUGGAAUAAAUGGAUAUCACAGAAGCGAUCAAAGUGUCCAGAAGUCCUGCUCACAAUCACCCACUUCUGUUAUGUGCUGGUCAAUAGCAAAGUGUCUAACAAAUGACCAUUUUGUUUUAGUCUUUGUUAUUUAUUAAUGCAGAGGAGCAGACACACUAAUUAAAAAGUUAGUGAGAUUUCAUGAAGAGGCUGGUGGGUGUUGCCUCCUAAGAUACCUGCUUCAAAAAUAUUUCUAAUCAGAAUAGAAUCUGGUCUCAACAGCUGGUUAUUCAAACAGUUACAAAUAGAUUUUUUAAAAAACACACAACAGAAAAUUCAAAGGACAAAUGGGAGCUUCAAAGAGGCAAAAAAUGUUUCUCUUCCAGAGUCACAGGCAUGCCACAGAUCCUCUUUAGCAUCAGCUGCUUUGAGUUUCAAAAGCAUUUUUCUUCUUGCAAGAGCCCCCAAGCCACCCAAGCUUAAGCGCUUGUAUAAUAUUUUACUCUCUUCUAUUAUAGACAUAACUAUCAGCUAAACCAUUUUAGUGCACAUGAAAGGGGGGAGGAACACUAUAAAUUUAUAUCUGCUUUUGAUAGUCGGUGAGUAUUAUUUAUUUGCAGCCGUCUGGGGGUUAAGAACAUGAUAAAAGCAGCACUGCAUCUGAGCAAAGAUGCAUUUAGUCCACUAUCCUGUUUCUAUCUGUGACCACCUAUGUACAGUCUGGGUAUGUAGAAGGCAGCCUUCUCUGUUUGCCUUCUAUCACCUGUACUCAGAGGAGCACUGCCUUUCCCUCAGAAUCUGAAUAGCUGUUGAAUAGAUCUGUGUCCCAUGAAACUGCCACAAGCUUCAAUUCUUUAGGCAGACAGCAUACUCAUAAUCGGCAUUGCUUUAGAGAUGUUGUUGAUUAUCCAGCUUGACAUGGACCAUCUGAGCAAGGGGGAAAAAUGUAUUCCACUUACUAACAAUUUAAGAACAUAAAAGGAGCCCUGCUGGAUCAGACCAAAGGCCAAUCUAGCUUAGCACCUUGUUAUCACAGUGGCCAACCAGAUGUCGGUGGGAAGCCUGUAAGCAGGACCUGAGCACAACAGCACUCUGCCUGAUAGAGCUCAACUGCAAAAUAGCUCAGUUUUGCUGGGGGACUCCAUUACACGCCCACCACACACACACACACACACAACGUCCUGGAACAAUGCUAGUCUGGCAUUGCAGAGGAUACAAAAUGGUUAUCAAGAGAGUUGUUGCUGUCAGUUACAGGCUAGCACACAGUGUGUAUUGAGGUGGGGGGGGAGUGAAUGAGUAAUAAACUGUACUACCACCAGUGCCAAUGGUGAAACCCAUCUCCAAGAAACUGUCAGAGAAUUUCUCCUCCCUCUGAAGGAAUUUUGUGAAAUCCCUCCAUUCCUAUUUCUCUGCUUUCAAAUAGGGUGGCGAAUUCUGAGAGGCCAUUAAUUUGCCACUCUAAUUGCUAAUGACCAGGUGAUGAUUAUUAUUAUUUUGCCAGUUGUGUGUAGUUGAGUAAACUGAAACAUGGAGUGUCCUGCCCCAGAAAUCCUAAUAUAGGAGACACUUGCUGCUUCACUUCCAGCAAACAGGAAAUUCAGGCAGGUAGCUUUGUGUUGUUGUUUUUAAUAAUAUUUAUUACUUUUCCAACAAUUUGAACACACAACAAAAUAAAAAGAAAAAAGAACAAUACAAUACAAUACAAAAACACUACACAACACAUUAAACUAACAAAACAAAACGAAAACAGUUUAAAAAAAUCAAACAUUUUCAAUAUCUUAUCUUUCAUUCACUUAUUUCAGUGACCUCCUCACACCUCCCUUUUUGUAUUCCACUUCUGUUGAUUGUUUCAGCAAUUCCUUUCCAUCUUCCUCUGCUUUCUAUCCUUUAAUUAUCUUAACAGAUUCUAGCCUUAUUUUUCCCUUUAAUACUCUAUUAAUCUAUUUAUACUUAAUUCCUUAUAACAUUUCUAGUAAAGCCAUAUAACUUCAUUCCAACAUUUUUCUAACAUUCAUUAAUUUUACAAUAUUACUGUAAAUAGUCUUUAAACUUUUUCCAGUCUUCUUCCACCGACUCUUCUCCCUGGUCUCGGAUUCUGCCAGUCAUUUCCGCCAAUUCCAUAUAGUCCAUCAACUUCAUCUGCCAUUCUUCCCAAGUGGGUAAAUCUUGUGUCUUCCAAUAUUUCGCGAUGAGUAUUCUUGCUGCUGUUGUUGCAUACAUUAAAAAAGUUCUAUCCUUCUUUGACACCAACUGGCCAACCAUGCCCAGGAGAAAGGCCUCUGGUUUCUUCAGAAAGGUAUAUUCUUCAGAAAGGUAUAUUUAAAUACCUUUUUCAUUUUAUUAUAGAUCAUCUCCCAGAAUGUCUUAAUCCUUGGGCAUGUCCACCAAAGGUGAAAGAAUGUACCUUCAGUCUCAUUACAUUUCCAACAUUUAUUGUCGGGCAAAUGAUAAAUUUUUGCAAGCUUGACUGGUGUCAUGUACCACCUAUAAAUCAUUUUCAUUAAAUUUUCUCUUAGGACAUUACAUGCCGUGAAUUUUAUACCUGUGGUCCAUAACUGUUCCUAGUCAGCCAUCAUUAUGUUGUGUCCAACAUCUUGUGCCCAUUUAAUCAUAGCUGAUUUCACCAUUUCAUCCUGAGUGUUCCAUUUCAACAGCAAGUUAUACAUUCUUGACAAAUUCUUAAUUUUUGGAUCUAACAAUUCUGUUUCCAAUUUUGAUUUUUCCACCUGGAAACCAACUUUUUUGUCCAGGUUGUAUGCCUCCAUUAUUUGAUAAUAAUGGAGCCAAUCUCGCACUCUGUUUUUCAAUUUUUCAAAGCUCUGCAAUUUUAAUCUGUCUCCAUCUUGUUCCAGAAUUUCCCAAUAUUUCGGCCAUUUGGCCUCCAUAUUGAGUUUUUUCUGUGCCUUCGCUUCCAUUGGUGACAGCCAUCUUGGGGUUUUCUUUUCUAACAAAUCCUUAUAUCUUAUCCAGGCAGGUAGCUUUGAAAACAUGAGUUACCUUCUGUUUGUGUGUGUUUGAGCGGGUGUGUGUGUGUGUUACUUGCACUUGCAUGGAUUCAGUCCCUUAAUUCCCUACAGAUGAUCAGCAUUUUCAGAGAUGAUAGUGCCCAUUUGUUUGUUCAGUACCAAAUACAGAAGGCUUUUCCAUGCAGAGGAACACUUUUUUUGUGCCAGAUGCCAAAAUUUUACAGCCUUACAUCCUAUUAGAUAACUCUUCCUAUCAUUAGGCUGAUCUGAUAGGUGGUUCAAUUAUGAGGAGAAGAAAUCCAAGCAGUUUCUGUGAGAACCACUAUAACUAUCUCUUAAACCAAUACAGUCAUAUUCUAUAACAGCUAAGUAUAAUGUCAGUAAACAUAAAAUAUUGAAUCUGAAUAUAAUAGCCGAAAACCAGAGCCCUAUCUCCAGCGUCCUUUUAAAUUAUUAGCUUACAAUGGAGUACAGCUAAUGAUCGAAUCAAGGGAGCGUGCAGGAUACAGUGUUCAUAUUGCUGGUAUUUGUUUAUGUCUGGCCUGAUUUCCAGGCUUGUAGGAAGAGAGAACUUUUGUUAUUACUGGAGCUAAGGGUGCAAGCCUAAACACACUUGUUUGGGUCUAAAUCUCACAUCAUCACCACCACCAUCAUUUUUUAAUUUUUUAAACUUAUACCCCGCUCAUCUGGCUGGGUUUCUCUGUGCAACUCACCUCUAAAUAAAACUGCUUAGGAUUGCUCUGUAUGCCUAUUACCAGUUUUUUUUAAAAAAAACUUCUAAAUAUUAAGACUAGAAUUUCCUGUGUACUUAGCCAUGUGCAUUAUAAACAAGAAAAAAUGUGUAAAUGGAUGAGCCAAAACGAGCAUUUUAUCCUGGAAAUGCUUCAUAGAAAUGUCUCCACCUAUCUUCUCUAUAAUAUUAGGAAUUAGCCCAAGGCAAGACUUUCUGAUACCUAGUUUUGCUGGAGGUGAAAGAGUUUUUGCACUUUUGAAAUAAUGGUUUAAGAUUUCACAAAGUUCUUUUCUCUGUAGUAUACAUACUAUUAAUUUUGUAGUAAUAUAACAUUGAUGAAUUCCAACAAAAACUGUUGGGUUGAAAUGAACGACAGACGAGUAGGUAGGUGUCAUACGGGAGGCGUCUCCGAGCAAGCCUCGGAGAGUCCCUUUUAUUGAAUAUUACUGCGUUUGCCACGUGUGUGCUUGUUGCUGAUUGGUUAACAUAAGUACAAAGCAAGGGUUGCAUAUAAGACAUUAAUUAUUGCAUAUAAGACAUUAAUCAUAGACAGGUUAAAGGUUGGGAAGAGGAACGCGGAGUUUACACAGAUAUGGUUUCCUUCUUAUCAUGAUCGAUGUGGUGCUACUAAUGGGCUGCCUGUACCAGGGUGGUACGAAAAGGAAUGUACAAGGAGGGGUAAGUACAGACUGAUAUGGUGUGAACUCAAGGUGAACAGAACGUACCAGGGUGAUGUGGGAAUGUCUUAGCAUCAGCACGGUUUGUGCAGCGUGAGCAGAACAAAGCUUAGAAGCAAGACUUCCCAUCAUGCCACAGUCAUGUGCAGAAGCAAAGCUUCCCAUCAUGCCGCAGUCAUGUGCAAAAGCAAUGCUUUCCUUCAUCUCCUCCUUUCUUUUCUUAUUUGCGAGGUGUUCUGGGUGAAUAAGACAAAAAUACUUCGGGAUACGUGGUAUGCCAGCGCAUGCCCGAAAUAAGUUCGCCACAUCUCCCCUAAUGUUUACUGCUGGUGCUGCAAUUUCGCAAAGUAGGCAGCAAUGAUUUUAUUGGGUGGCUGAGGGGGAGAGAGAAGCCGAGACAAAAGACUUAUGAAUCCAGGAAUGCAUUGGAGGAAGCAACAUAGCAAACUCAAUAUACAUAUUAUAACAAUGGCAUAUUGAAAGAGAUUACGAAGCCAAUUCAGGUUUGGCAACCAGCCAGUCAGCCACUGGGUGAAUGAGUCCCACAGGCCAGAAAGUCCAACGUCCUGUUUAAUGUGGUGUGUAAGAUUUUGCAAAUGAGAGAUUUCCUUUUGGAUGGCUUUGGAAUUAUCAGUAAUAUUAAAACAACACAUGUCAUCCACUUGUUCACAGCCGUAAUGAUGAAGCAUCAAUAGAUAAUCGAUAGCAGCGCGGUUCUGCAGAAGACCAUGCUGGAGUUCACUCUGCUCUUUAUUCAGAAGAUGAAGCGCUUGAGAAGUAAAAUUCAGGGCUUUUGCUGCAGAACAAGCUAAAGAGUUAAUGUUCCUACUAUUGCGUACAGCCAAUCCAGGGACUCCUAGGAGAGAAACAGCUAAAGAGAUAUAUUCAGACCUACUGGGAAGAGAAAUAGAAUCAUCACAAUCGUUAGUCAGUUCAAUAUUGCGGCAAUAUCGAGAGCGGGUCAAAUGAUGCUUUUUGGGUAAUACGAUGGACAAACGGCUUAAACAACAGGGUGUGCCAUGGCUGAUGUUUGCUGGAAUGUAAUUAAAUGUAUAGCCAGGACACGACCAGAACCAGCCUGCAGGUAGCUCUGUGUAUUUAUAUACAUAAGAAAUAUUUACAUAAUUAGAGCAGUGGAAAUUAUCCUUGCCCAUUUUUACACAGUUGGUUUUUGUGCAAUUUACCAUACGGGUGCAAGUGACAUUAAAAGAAGCCACGUAUGGGGUCAAUAAGUCAAUGGCCAGAGGUGGGCGUUGGCGCACUUGUUGUAGUAAGUCUCUGCCCCACAGAUUGAGAUGGAUUUUUAACACACAGGGCUGGAUAUAUGCAAUGGUUUCAGAGCUAUCAGGCAGAGAAACAGGCAGCCACUGUACACUUUUGGAAGAGGUUUGAGGUCCACCUACACCCCAAACUGCAGAGGCAGACUCAAGGGGCCGCGUGGGGUCCCAGCAACUACUGGAAAUUACAGAAAUGUCCGCGCCUGUGUCAAUCAAGCCUUCCAGAACCUUGCCAUUUAUCUUGUACUUACAAAGAAGUUUCUGAUGACCAAUCUGCUGGAUUACAGCUAACAGCUGUGGAGAAAAAGGAGAGAGCUCGUGCAAAUUACUAUCAAUAAUAGAAACAGUAACUGUAGAGGGUUCCAUCAGUCACAUAUAAGAAGGGAAAUAGAACAGGAACUAUGUCAAAUAUAUGAAUCAUUGAAUGCAUUGCCAAGCCUUCAACUGUCCAUCACAUAGCCUCUCCAUACGUAAGGAGGAGUGGCUGAAAGUCUAACAUUAACAAUACUUCUAUUUACAUAGUUGGGGGACCAUACCUUGUCAAAAUGAUUGUGUUUAGUUUAGACUCUAAAAACCAUUUUGUGUUGUGUUAUAUUCUAGGAAAGAUGCUUGGCCAAACUCAUUCCACCUACAACUCGGCCAAACCACAGCCCAGGCAAGCUGUGGAGAAACAGGAUGAGUUUCUUUGCAGGACAGCUCUGCAACAACCAUCCUGUUCUGCUGCUGCUUCCUUUCUUCUUGGCUUCUGAUGCUGCUGAGGUGAAAACAGCAUUGUCUAUGUGAGGUACACAGCAGCAGCAGAACAGGACUGUUGCUGGGGAGCUACCCUAACAUGCCCUGUCCUGACUGGUCCUCUGCGGUUCACCUAGGCCACCUGCCACAUGUACUGCUCACCUGAGCUGCCCCUGCACUGCCGGUCAAGGCCCCCUACUUGCUGCUCUGUCACAUCACAGCUCACAAACCGCAAUUCGCUAACACCCAUGCAAUGUUAUUAUAUAGCAAGACAGAUUUUUUAGAUUAAUUGAAAACAACCUUAAAACUCCCUGUCAACAAAAUCUGCUCGCUAGUGGUCUUAAUAAUAAAAGAGGCUUUAGCUGCAGUGUGGACAGCCAUUUUCUUUUGGUCCUUUCACAAUGGAAGGAGAGAUGUUCUCCUUUUGAGUAUUAUGGAGUUCACCAGUCACUAACUUCUGAAAUUUCCAAAAUAGGCUGCUUCUGCUCUAAACUCUCAUGCACACUGCUACUACUAUUCAACAUAAUUCGUGUCAUCGGUAAAUUGUAUGUUAGACAGAAUAAAGCUGGCAUUGCCCAUCUUUCUUUCUUUGCAUCUUCCUCCCAGUGCAUUAUGUAAGUCUAGUCCAGCAUUUUCAGUCAAGGAUUUCUGCAAUUUCCAUUUCCAGUCAAUUUCCAUUUUCUGCAAUUUACAGAGAAGAAGACUCCUGUAAGACAUGGAAGGAAGGCUUGGAAGGAGAAGCUCAUCUUCAGCGUGUCUCCCUUCUCCUGCUCUCCCCUGAAGAUGACAGCUGCCUUGCUACCCUAUGAAGCUCUGAAGCACAUCCAAAGCUUUGCGAUGAGCCCACUUUGCUUUAGACUGCUUUGGAGAAGACACACUUCACUUCAGACAGGGCCCAAAACAUAUCUAUAGAAGUCUGCUUCAGUUCAAUAAUCAGAGAGCACACCCCUAAAACAUAUAUAAGCAUUUUAGCUAAAUAAACGUAUUAUUUAAAAAUAAUUUCAAAAACAUGUGUGAUAGCCAGGCUGGCUGCACUAUCUGAAAAUAGCUGGUAGGGAAGCUAGAGAGUUGCACGCACGCACUCAGCAAUGACUCUUUGAAUGAUACAUAGACAGAGAUAUAUUAACAAAAAUAGGAUCUGAGAUCAUUUGUACACAUAUCAAAAUUAUGGAAAAUAAAGCCUAGUAAAGGAAGAGAAGAAAAUCAUGCAGUAGAACCAGCUUUUAGAUUUCCUGCAUUAAGCAGGUGGUUGGACUGUGCUUCAAAGGAUUGGGGGACUCUCUGAGACAGCUUUUGGGUUAGGGUGCAUUACAAGGUGCCGCAGAGGAGAAGGAGGAUUGCUGAAAAUUGCCUCCCUCCCUGUUCCACUACCAUCAGCACACAGUUAUGAUGGGGUGCCACUCAUUCCCUAUAAGGGCUAUGACUGUAUGGAAUCAAGUUCCCCUAGUGAAAGCUGGGUAUUCGGAAUCUGUUUUCAGCAAAGCACUUGAUGUUCUUGUCUACAUGUUUCUCUCUCUGUAUGUGUUUGCAUUUGCAUGUGUGAAAUAUUGAUUAUAUUAAGGAAACUUGUCAUCAACCUGCCAGUCACACAGCCAAUUCAUUGUUGCAUUACCUGAGUAUAAUCCCUUGGGUUGAGUCAGAAGCUUGAGAUGAGGUAGAUGAACGCUUUUUUUGGAACUGAAAAAUGAAAAGAGAGUGUUGAGGUCUACUAAAUCUUAAUAAUGCAGCAGCUAGGCAUUGUGUCAGGCAUCUAAGAUAUUCUUGUUUCCUGGCAUCUGCCCAAAGCGAUAAAUUAAAAGGUGGUAUUUGGCACAAAUGAGGAUUCAAUUUGCAGAUGAAAGAGCAAGCACCAUGGAUUUCUACAUCCAUCCAACCAACAGCUUUUCACAAUGGCAAGGCAUGGUUGUUCCAGAUUAUAUGUUAUGCUUGGAUCAAACAAUACAUAUUUAUCACUUUGACCAGUCCUGCACUUUUAAUCUCAUUUUUAUUUAUAGUUUUUUAAAUACCUGCUGUCUAAGAUUAUCAGGAUGGCUUGCACAAUUGAAUAUCAACAAUAAAGACAAUCUAAGAUGAAAGUAGCAUAUACAGAUCAGACAGGUACAGCAAGGAGAGGAGCUUCUAGCCUGAUCAAGUAAAACUAUCUUCACAGCAGACCAAAAAGCAGGUGAAGAUACGUCCAGGUAGGCCUGCCCCUGGAACCUACCAUCACACAUGGUGGAAGAAAAUGGACGCAGCAUCAGCGUCACUGAUAUGGAAACAGUUCUUUUGACCAAGUGCUGGACAACUCAGAGCUGGGGGCCAAAUGUGGCCAUCUAAGCCUUUUCAUACGGCCCUCAGGAUAUUCUGGAGGCCACACACCCUUCCCUGUCAUGUCAUUCAAAUGCCUUUUGCUUGUUAGGAUGGAUGAUAACUAUGGGUUUGUGAGGGCAUGUAUAAAUAGCACAGAGGUAUAUUUUGUAUUCAUUGCUCCACCCACUUAUACUUCUGGCCAUGCCCAUCAGUGGAUUUUAAAUGUUGCCCAGAGGGGAAUGUGGCCCUUAGGCCUAAAAUUGUUUUCCAUUCCUGUGCUAGACAAUGCAUGCCCCCUGUUUUUGAAUCCUGGGUACAGAGCUGAAACAGAAAGUUGGUAGGAACCAUGAUUCAGUGUGCAACAUCUGAUUCCACUUCAAUCCCUGGCAUCUGAAAUUAAAAAGGAACAGGGAGCAGGUGUUGAGAAUGACCUCUUCCUGUGUAGCUGCUGCCAGUCAGAAAAGACAGAAUUGGGUUAGAUGGGCAAAUAGUUUGAUGAGGUAUAAGACUUCCGACAUAUCUUUGAAGUCCUAGUGAUGUCUGGUUUGGUGGGUUACACAUUUUAGAGAUUUAAAGCAUCAUGAGCACAAAUGAUAUAUAAUACUUCACAUAUCAUCAGUAAAAUGCAAAUAUAAAAUAGACCAAGGACUUAUGUAGUAUGGAAAUAGGCACCAAAACCCCAACCCCUAUCCCCCGAAAAAACCCCAUGAGAGGCUUUAAUGUCAAUUAUAAUAUCCAACCUAUGAGUCAGGAUAGUAGUAAGCAAGCACCCAUAACCAAUUAAUGUUAUUUUAAAAAUCCCACAAUCACAUAAAGUUGUGGUCCUGACCAUUUUAGCCCUUUAGGGCCUUCUUGGUAGUGGCGCCCACCCUGUGGAAGGCCCUCCCAUUAGAUAUCAAAGAGAUAAACAGCUACCUGACAUUUAGAAGACAUCUGAAGGCAGCCCUGUUUAGGGAAGUUUUUAAUGUGUGACAUUUUAAUGUAUUUUUAAUCUUUGUUGGAAGCUGCCCAGAGUGGCUGGGGAAACCCAGCCAGAUGGGUGGGGUAAAAAUAAUGUAUUAUUAUUAUUAUUAUUAUUAUUAUUAUUAUUAUUGCGAUAAAUGGGUGAAAGCCAUCUAAGCUGGCCAUGCUCAGAGCAGACCUGCAGAAAUUAACAAACUUAAGUAAAUUGUCCACUGAUUCCAGUGGGUCUUUUCCAAGGAUGGCUUAGCUCAUUAUCACCCAAUAUUAUUUCCUCUUAAAGCCAUUUUUAAAAAAAGUUAGUGUCAUUAAUGCUCCCAUUAGUUCUAUUGAUGCUUCCAGUGAAGCUUCUUUUGCAAAGCAUAGUCUUUGAAAAGUCUUUGUAUGAAUUAAAUCAUGCAGUUUUAAAACCAAUGGAGCUCAAAGCAGGGCAUGUGAAGCUCUUGAGGAGCCCAGAUGUGUCUUCAGAAUGCACAUUGAAUAUUUUGUUCUCACUUUUGCAUAACAAAGAAGCUUCAUUUUACAGUGCAAACAUGCAUUUGUUCACAGCACUAUGGACAGCAGCACUUACUCUGUUCGAUUGGUUGUUGUUUAUUUUUUCUGCUACAGUGCAAAACCUAUUACAGUGGUACCUCAGGUUACAUACGCUUCAGGUUACAUACUCUUCAGGUUACAGACUCUGCUAACCCAGAAAUAAUACCUCAGGUUAAGAACUUUGCUUCAGGUUGAGAACAGAAAUCAUGCUCUGGUGGCGCAGUGGCAGCAGGAGGCCCCAUUAGCUAAAGUUUGUAAUUUCUGCAGGUCUGCUCUGAGCAUGGCCAGCUUCAGGUGCUUCAGGUUAAGUACAGUUUCAGGUUAAGUACAGACCUCCGGAACGAAUUAAGUACGGUACUUAACCCGAGGUACCACUGUACAGCAUUGCUGGCGCAAAGCUGGUGGUAAGGUUUGAACUUUCCUGACCAUUGCUUAAAAUUCCAGCUCACCUAGGAACCCACUGUCUGAUCCUAAUCAAAUUAGUAUCUUUAAACUACAAGUCCCCAUUUGAAAAGUGGAAUCAUAAUCUCAUAUGUUGUGAGGAUAUCCGAAAGAAUUACUGUAAAGCACUAAGAGCUCAAAAGGGCCAUAAAAGUGAUUAAUAACUGUUUGUUUUAUAACGUGGCAGUGUGUGUUCUUCAUAAGAGACUGUACUGUUCUCUGCCAUCUAUCACAUUUUAAAUAAACACUGAAUAUCUAAGAAGCAGCCUAUACUUGAAAGAUGAUCCAAACAGGACAGCAGGGAUCUUAUAGCUGCCUAUUUACAAGAAGUCUCAGUACCCACUUCAACAGAUCCAGCAGUUUCCUGAAGUUGGAUUCAAAAUUCUACAGACACUAAAGAAUUGUCCCUGUGGAAAAUACCCAGUCAUACCAAGUCUGCCAGACUUUCAGUAGAGAGAUGGAACGUGUUUUUAAUGAGCUGCCAAGAAUCCCAGGAGAAUCUAGAAAUGCAGUCACCUAUUGCCAGUGGUGGCUGAUACCCACUGAAGCUGGUGGAGUGGAAAGCAAGGAGGCCAAUAGCCAAUAACAGGCAGAGGUACCACUUGACUGAUGAUAAAUUUGUGGGGCUGGCUGAAGACAGAUUGAGAUUGGUGGGGCAGUGCCCCUUUGGCGUAGUACACCAGCCUCCAUUGCCUGUCACUUAAAAAAUAUAAGCCCUUUUCAAGUGGAGUGUCAUCAAGAGGUGACUUUUCUAAAGGAAACUAGCUCCACCUCACCCCGCCCCUUUGCUGCCUUAGCUACUUUCCAACUUGUGAAAGCUGUCUGUCCGAAGCAAGUAACCUUUUGUACCUAUGAAGGUGCCCCAUGUUGUUUGGACCCUGGAAAACCAGGCUACACUUAUUCAGUUCCAUCAACCUUUUCACACAGUUUUCCACAUGGCUGCCCAUCUUCAUUGACCUUGUAUAUAUCCUUCUUAAACUUCAGCAACCAGAACUAGCCACAGUACUCCGAAUAAGGUCUCCAAAUGUGGUGAAUGAGUACAAUGGCCAGUUAUUACGCACAUUAACUACUCAACGUCCAUUAACCUUGACCACACACACAUACACCUCUCAGAGAAAGGCAUGAACAGGGCUUUUUUUAGCCAGAACUCGCCAGAACUCAGUUUCAGCACCUCUCAGGUUUAGCUCCAUUGCCAUUAUAAUAGAACAAUGGAGGGGUUCAUGGUGAGUUCCAGCACCUCUUUUUCUACAAAAAUAACACUGGGCAUGGAAUAUGAGAAUCUUCUCAGAAUCAGCACUGAAAAAUGGAUAUUCAUUUGUGCUAUUAUGAAUUUUUCAAGCUUGAUUAAUCAAUAACACUUAUGGAGUUUAUAAAUGUACAAACUGUCAAUUUGAAUAUAAAGAUAAACUAUGGGCUUUUAAAACAGCCUAUUACCAAUGCCAUCGAGAAAUAGUUAAUCAUAUUUGGACAUUUAUUUGUUACACUUUAAUCUCACCUUUCCUCCAAGGAAACUGGAUGGUUUGCUUGUUUGUGUGUAAAACUUUCAUGCCUUUCCUUUAACAGGCCAAUGGUAUCAUACAAUAUAUCUGGCAUAACAAGUUUACAAAGCAAGUCAAUGAGUGGUUCUCAAGUGGUGUUCCAAAUACUCAUCAGGCCCAGACCUGCUUAGCUCCAGAUGUUGAAGACCAUGACAAUGUUUUCUAAGUCUGUACUGUCAUGGAUGGCUUAGAGUACACACAAGUGAAGAAGCUAGACAAUAACUUUCACUCUCUCAGCCAAGAACAGAACAGCCACACAACGUCCAGUACCAUCUUGUGACUAAAUUUCAUAGUGAUACUCAAACAUAUCUAACCAAAAGAACAGGAAAUUUGACUUCACUGAGGUAAAAGAUGACAAGUCUUCUAUUUUUGUUUGUUCACACAAAUCUAUUUAUCUACACCUUGCUUCCUUCUUCCAAAGAGGACAGAUGAUUUUCUCUGUUCAUCCUCAUGAUAACUUGCCCAGAUUGAAGAUACAGUGGUACCUCGGGUUAAGAACUUAAUUCGUUCUGGAAGUCCGUUCUUAACCUGAAACUGUUCUUAACCUGAGGUACCACUUUAGCUAAUGGGGCCUCCCACCGCCCUGCGAUGUCUGUUCUCAUCCUGAAGCAAAGUUCUUAACCCAAGGUACUAUUUCUGGGUUAGCGGAGUCUGUAACCUGAAGCGUCUGUAAACUGAAGCGUCUGUAACCCGAGGUACCACUGUUGUAUCUUGUUGCAGGCCACCCAGUGAAUUUAUUAAUGGACUGGGAUACAAUGAAUUAGGUCAGACAUAGGCAAACUCGGCCCUCCAGAUGUUUUGGAAAUACAACUCCCAUGAUCCCUAGCUUACAGGACCAGUGGUCAGGGAUGAUGGGAGUUGUAGUCCCAAAAAAUAUUUUUCUUGGAUAUCUUUGUUUUGUGUGAUUCUUGACAAGUCACAGCAGCCAGUGUGCACAGCGAAGGAGGAUAUCAUGUCCUCCCCUGGCCAUGCCUGAUCUGGGAGGCUGUCUCAAUUCACCAUAGCCAUGUUGGACAGUUACCUCCAUUCCCCCUCAAGGAUGGCAGUAAGCAAUCAUUGUCAGGACAGAUAAAAGAAAAUGCUUUUAAUGCAGGAACUCACUCCCACAGGGAGCAGUUAUAGCCACCAACCUAUAUGGUUUUAAAAGAGGAUUAGACAAAUUCAUGCAAGAGAGGGUUUUUGGUGGCUACUAGCCAUGAUUACUAAGCUCUACCUCCACAGAUGGAGCCAGCAAUGCUUCUUGAUACCAGUUACUGGGAACCACAGGAGGAGAGAGUGCUCUUGCGCUAGAGUCCUGCUUGUGGUUUCCCAGGCAAAUCUAGUACAUGUGGUGUCUUUGCCCUUUAACAGCAACAAGAGUCUCAUGGAAAUAUGGCUAACAUUUCCUUAUCGAGUCAAUAGGCUAAAUUAAGGUAAUUAUUAUAAAUGGCCUUUCAUCAUUCUUUAAACAUAAAAUAGCCCAGUUAGAGCUAUAAAAUAGGCCACUCAUUUGCACUCCCCACCCCAAAGCGAUGCAAUUAAAUGGCAAAAAUUAUAAUUAUUUCAAGACUAGGUUGGCUAUGUUUAUCUCUCUGAAGGUCAGUCAGUCUUUGGGUGUCUUUUUUUAAGGGGGGAAAUGUCUUUAGUGGCAUGCUAUGCACUACAUUUUACAAAGAGCUUUAGAGAUAAUAAAUCUGUACUGGACUGAAGUGUAUGCAUGCCAGAUUUUAUUGGUGUGAUAUGUCUGCAGGGAUUCUUAAUCAUUACUACAUGCCUUAUCAAUACUGAACAAACAAGCAUGCUGCUUCCAAAACUCUUUCACACAUCUCCAAAUAAAUGAGAAAGUAGUACUACAGCAGGUGGCAGUGAAGCUAAUCUCCUUAUGGAAACCCAGUGAGGUCAAAUAUUUGAUCCUGGAAAUCUAAACCUAAAGCUAAAUUGAUUAUUUAAAAAAUUCGCCAUAAUAAGGAGGAUAAAAAGCUGCAUAAAAAGCUAUGAGGAGAUGAAGAUGAGACAUAGGUCCACUACACACCCAUCCAUUCAGGGACCCCAUAAAAUUCAGACACAGGAAAUGUAUGUGUAUGAAUGGAUAGCUGAUGAGCUAUUUUCUCUUUUGCUUUGAUGUGCAUCAACCACUGCAUUUCAAGCAGAAGGCAAAGCAAAUACUGCUACCUGGCCAGAUACAUGAUGACCACUAGUGUCAGGCAAAGGCAACCAGUAGCUGGAACACCUAACUGGGAUAUUGUCACCCACCAAGAAGGUUGGGUCACAAUGAGAAAGACCUCGUGAGAUGUUGCUGAGUCCUGUGAGACUUUGGACAGUUUCUCUCUAUUGCUGGCUCCACUGAGUAGCUUUCUGGGGCUGAUGGCAAUCAAAGUUCAACUGGAGAGUCAAAGAUUCUCCACUGGUGACUCAAUGAGUUCACAGCAAAGGUGAGGUUCAAACUUCCUUAUUGGAAGCUCAGCCAUUAUCCCAUGCCGACUCAGAAUUAAUCAAUCACCUGAUAGUCACCAAACCAACUAAUCAAUAUAUCUGAGCUUAAGUAAAUUUGGAUGUUGAAGGAAGGCAAAUGUGCUAGUUUUGUGGAAGGAGAUUUAGUGUUGUUUUGUCAAGGUUUGUUUAUUUAUAACUUUUAUAAAAAUAGCUUACAUAAAGAUCAGAACAUACAUAAAACACAAUGAAAUUGUUUAAAAAAAUCUAAAAUAAUUUUCAUACAUUAAAACUGAAAGCAGGGUAAACCAAUUCAGUAUUUAAACACUGGCUUGAAGAUAGAAGAGAGAUUUCUAGUCAAAUCUCUUGUUGAUGAGAGUUCCUGAGAUUUGGGGCCAUCUUGCAUCCCAACCAAUUGUGCUUCUGGAAGUGGUGAGACACAUAGCAAAACCUCCGAGGUUAGUUCAGCAGGUGGAGAGGAUCAUAUGGGAAGAGGACGAACGUCAGAUAGCUUGGUCUCAAACUAUUUAUGUAAUUUCAUUAUUCAAACAUAUAUCUCCGUUUCCAGUUGGAAGUUUAUGUACUGGCACAAAAAGACAGGACUUCUAAACAUACAUUUACAAUGUCUCUACAGUAUCCCUUUUCCUAUAUCUAAAGUCUAAAAUACAUGGAAACUAAGGUUUGAGGUCUCACUGUACUUCCAAUCUGGCUUUUGUUUGCAAAAACCCAAUAAGCUAUGAUAUUAUCUGAGCAGGUUUUGUGCCAGUGCCAUCAUUUGUGAUAUAUGAUCCAAAACAAAUCAUAUGCACAAUAGCAAAUGGUGUUGGGGAACCGACUUCAUUUGGCAACAGUUCCCAAGUUGUUCAUGGAAAGUGCUCAUUUGUUCAGCCAUUUCCUGUCUACUCAUUCCCCCUCUCAAUUUGAAACACUGUAAUCCUUUCUACAUGCUUCCUUCACUGUGUUACUAACAUUAUUGUUACAGAUCAAAAGAGAGCUUCCUCCUUAAAAGUUUCAUUCCCCAUCUGUGGAAAGUGUGAGGCAAAUCCUUUCACGCAGUCUGAUGAUAUGUGCAUCCUGACAGUUUUCACUGUUGCUGGGGCUUUGAAACCCAUAGUCCGUUGCAUUCGUACAUUGAAAGGAGCCAGGUUUGUCAGUUAUAAAGGUACUUUUUGCAGCCUUUGAAGUGGACAACAUAUUGCUCGAACUCCCAGAAUUGUUUUCAAAGGCUGCAAGAAACAGCGGUAAAACUGACAAGCUUCCACAGAAAUAUGGACGUAUCCCCUUCACUGCAGAGAUGUAAGUGACAAGAUCAUCAACAGUUUCACUGAUUAGAUCACAGGUGUUCUAAAUAUAACUAAGUUUAUCUCUCUGAAUUUCUCUACUUGUAAGAUUGGUGCAUACUUGUUCUUCACGUUCUCUGUUUGUGACAAAAUACAUGCAUUCACACACACACACACACACCCCGCCUUCCAUUCUGCUUCACCACAGAGUAAAUUUUAAGGGCUUUUAGUUGGACAUAACUAAUCCUGUCUCAGUGCAAGGGGCUGAACUAGGUGACCUUAGAAUAGCUUUUCAUAUAUUAAUUUCUGGUAUCUUCUCUCACACCCAUGCACAUAAGUGUAAUUCUUCCAAAGGAGGUGAUCUAGCAUCUCUUUUUCUAAUUAUGCAGUUCCAGAGAUUUGACGACUCAUUAGGGACUCCACUGGAGAAUGCAUGUGCCACCACUUGACAUGUAUUAACUUUCUUUUGCCUAGAGCUAUUAGACUCUGACCUACAAAAUCUAUACUGGGCUGAAAAUUCUAACACUUGCCAGGCUACACGUAUUUGCUUCAUGUAAGAAUGUUGCACUGCAUUAAUUUACUUCUAAUUUUACACAGAUUCAAGGAAAUCUGACUGGAAAUAUGUCUCAAAAUGUGCAAGUAUCCAAGCUAUUGUAUCUUGAAGUACUUUAAAGACCACAAGGCAUAUCAAGAAGGUCAUGAUACCAUUAUUUUUACAUCUUCUAAGAAACUAUCUAUUUUCAUAGCUGGUCUGUUGCCAUAGUAUCUGAGUCACCAUGACCCAUUUGCAGAACUUCAAGUGUCUGAAAAAAACCCCCAAAAGUUUCUUACUAAAUAACUUUAUCUAUAUCUUAAUGAAAAAUGAAUUUAUUUAAAGAAAUCAAAAUUGUAAUCAGUGGGGAUAAGAAUGAAAAACAAAGCCACAACCAUUGAAUAACAAAUAUUAUAUUUUUAUAUUUUGUUUUAUUUUAUUUGCAUUUCAGUGUUGGAUACUCUCUGAAAUAAUUUUGCUUAAAUGUUGUACACCCUUUGCUAAUCAUUAUUAUUUUCUUCUAGGGCUUUCAAAUCCUCCUCUUGUUGGUUCCAUUUCCAUUUCUUACUGAACCGAUCACAGAUUGUUGUUGUUGCUGCUGUUGUUAUCACUCUUGACCAAUUUUUUUAAAUGGAAUUAGGUAUUUGCUCAAAAAUGCCUUAGAUUUGAAAAUGUAAUUGCGAGGUCCUUGUCUUGCAUCCAAACAAUUAUGCAUCCCAACCAAUUGCAUCCCAACCAAACUGAACCCUGGGUGCCUUUGAGUGUAGCAAAAUGACUGAUGAACCUACUAUGUUGCGGAACAGGGAUGGGGAAACUUUUUCAGUCCAAGGGCCUCAUCCCCUUGUGGACCACUUUCCACAUGCCAGCAGUUGGUGGAUCAAAGUGGGUGGAGCAACAGAUAUGGCUGCUUCUUUUGUACAUUUGGCUGCAUUCCAGCCACCCAAAAGUAAGAGCUUUCUACACUCAUGUAUUUUCUCCCUCCCUCCACCCCUCCCUCUCUUACACAUCUCUCCGGCUUCCAUUCAGGCAACCAAAGGCAUCAUCACAGCUCUGUUAAGUAUAAUUGUUAAAUGUGCAUUGAAAUGGGAAAUUAUUAUACAAUGUAUCUGUAUUGUAUACUGUGAGGCAUGACUGGAAAUCUCCAUGAAGCUGAAGAAGAGUAUACCAAGUUAAUCAUUAACAGCGCUAUAUCAUGGGACUGUAUCUCUGCUGGCUCAGCCACAAGGUGCAUAAUGUCACAUGAAAGAGAUAGUAUUGCAGGUCUAUGCAUAUGCUAAUUUGGUAGGCAUCCAUGUUUGGGUGUGAGCUCUUUGUUCCAAGCUGCUAAAGAGAAUGGGCAUUUUAAUCUCUGCCUCCAGUAAACAACCAGAAGCUAAUGGAAUAUGAAAUGGAGGAGUGAUGGAGCUUUGAUUUUAUCUCAGGAUGUGAGAUGUUUGUAAUCUUAGUUAUCUCGCCUUAUGCUAGCACCAGUAUAAGAAAUUAUGCAACUAAGUGAAUAUAUUUUUUAAAAAAGUUGUUUGAUGUUAAGUUUUGUAAGUAAAGCCUUUGAACCAUAUUCUUGGACUGGAAUUUUUUUUAUUUCUGUACUACUGUCAGUUUUUAUUCAUCCAAUGGCUUCCAUAUGCAUAAUAAUGAUGAUCAUCAUCAUCAUCUCAGAAAGUUCAAGGAUAUUUCAGCCAGGCAAAAGCACUCAAUAAGGGUGCAGAGCAUGGCUGGUGAAAGGUAUAGCUUGGGGAGAAGGGUGUGAUCUGGAGGACUUGAUGGUCUCUAUCCCUGUUGUAGAGUGAUGGAUACAAAUCUCUCUCUCUCUCUUCUCCCUUCUGCCUUCUAUUCAAUGCAAUAAAUGGAUUUUUGUAUGAAAAUAGCCAUGCCUGUUUAUUGACUUGGAAAAUUAAUUAUUUUAAAUUAAUGUGCUUCUGCACCAAACUCGUCAUUCAGUGUGUUAAUUCUGCCAAACACAUGUUUGAGAUUUAUAGAGAACCUUUUAAAACUACUUUUGGCUCACUCUAAUAGCACACGUUUUGCAGAUCUGUUCUAAGCAGAAGGAAGGAAAAGGUCACAAGGCAAACUGGGACCACCUGGCCGCCACUUCUAUACAUUCAGCACCACUGGCCAAAUGUCUACUGAAAAGCUGCUAUCCAGGCCCCAAACAGCAGCUAAUUGAUUUUGAAUGUUUCCAUUGUAAUCACUUUAGCCUGAAGAAUGCCCUUCCUGCCAUGAAAUUUCUUAGGAACACUUGUUGCUUCAGACUGCAAUUCAGAAAGAUUUUAUUUGGUGUCGUUGCUCUUUCUAUUACCAUGUAAAAACACACCAGGGAUUUGGAAACCGGCUACACAAGAAAGCCAAGACAGAGAGUGUGAAUGUUAUUUGUGAAAAGGGGAAAACAUUUUCCAGUGUUUUACAUCUGAGUAUUAUCUGAAUGCCAAAAAGAGGAAAAAUCUUAGAAUGCCUUGAAGUUAUACUGUGUCAUGACAUUAUCUCAUUCAGGGGUCUUUGGAGUAGAUCUGUCAGUUUCAGUUUCUCUCUCUAGCUCAUUUCUCCAAUUCAGAAUUCCAAUUUAUUUUUCAAAUUCACAAACAAAGCAGUUUGUAAUUUUUUUAAAAUAAAGGAGUCAUAAAAAUUCAUUAGCAUUUUGGUGGGAAUUUCAAUUUUGCUAAAUACACAGAAUAUUUGCUAAGCUAUUUUCCCUAAUAUAAUACUCCCUGUAAUAGCCAGGCACAAACCCUUUGGUCUCUAAUGCUAUGUUGUACAUCAGGAAAAGUCCAUGAGUAGAAUUUUGUGGAUUUGGCCAAAUAUCUACCUACUCCAGGAUUCAGUUUCUAACAGUGGCCAGUCAGUUGGAGCAGUCUAAAUUUGUGCAGAAUCCUCAUACCAGCAGCAAAAUUUCCUGGUGGCCACUAGCACAGAAGCUCUUCUAAUCAUCUUGAUCCAUAUUAUAAACAACAUUCAAACAUUAUAGCGCCUUGAUGGAGCACUGCAAGAUAGUAGUAUCAUAUUUUAACCAGAUAAUUGGCCAAGAGAGUUGCACUGUAUAUAGGACAAUGCCAGGGAUGGAUGUAAUGGAGCCACCUACCAAUAGAUUUCUGAUCAUCAUAAGUUCUAAAAGCAACCAAACCAAGGUAUUUGGAUAAUACGGAUGUAUAUGGCAAAUAGUAAUCUCUUAUAAAGUGGAAUGGUAGCUGGCUUUUUUUUUUAUAGCCUCUAUGAAGGAAAACAAAAAGCAUCAAGGAUGAACAAACAUGAAACUAUCAUAAAUCUAGCCUGUCCCAGUCCACAAAAGUCCAUUUCUGUGCAAAUUCCACUCUUUGUAUUUACUUCUCCCUUUAUUUAUACAUCAGUGGAACAUAAUGAUCACUUAGCAAAGUUCUGUUCUCUCUCCUCUUUCUCUAACAAAAAGGCACCCAUGAUGAGAAGCAUCUUUUCUUGGCAUCUGACUAGCAUUUCUGUAAAAAGAAAGAGGAAAAAAAGUUUACAGUAUUGAAUGGGGGAAACUGAUCCUUUUCAGUGUCAUUAGUCAUGGCUCCUUGGGGACAGUCAUGCUGGCUCGUCGCUCUAGUACAACAUCAAGAGAGGAAGUGCCUUUGGUUUUUUUGUUGCCGACUCGCCGAAGGUACAGAAAUUGCUUUUGCUAUAUCUCUCUCCCCCCUUUCUCUCUCCUCUCUCCAUCCCUUUGUCUCUGGCUGAAUAAUGAAGCAACGGUUUCAGUUUUAGUGCUCUGGUGCUUUAUCUUGUCGAAAUAAUGUUGCCAUUGGUGCUGGUGUAAGCUGCUUUCCUAUCCUCUUUGGCCACCCCCCCACCCCCCGCUUGUUCUGAGGGCUCUAUUCGGGUGUGUAGUCUGGUGUUUUUCACUGAUGAGUGAUAUUAAAUUGCAGCUACAGUGGCACACAGCCCAGUGGCAGCUCAUCUACCAGGGGCUUCUGGGCAGGGUGGCUGGCAGCCCCAGAAGGCUUAGUUCUGUUUGGAUAAACUCCACCAUCUUUUUGAUGUUUGAUCUCUGUUGCUUAGAUUUGAAAACACAGGCGAGAGAGAGAGAGAGAGAGAGAAACAAAAGGUCUUCUCAAGCAGAUUAUGGCACUUAUGGCUGCAGAGGAAGCAGCACAACAAAUAUUACUGCAUGUAAUAUUUCAAGGGCUUCUUUUUCUAACUAUGAUUAGAAAGGGGAUAUCAGGAAUUAUUCCAAAGAAUGUGGCAUGAAGUUGACAGCCAGAGAGUUAGAAUAAGCACUCCUUUCCUUAAAGAGCAUGCAGACUUAGGGUGCAUUCAGAUGCAGGGAAUUUUUGCCUUGGUUUUCCUGAUUAUAAUGCUAGCUCUUCUGUCUCAUUUUCUAAUCUUCUAAUGUUCCUGUAGGAGUGCAGUACCUGUUGCAGAACUGUGCCUUUUUGACCAAUAGCAUGCCACAUUAAAUUUCACUCAUACCAGUGGGUGUGGGGUUGCACAACACCAAACAUCCAUGUCGCUAUUCCCCCAACCUUUUCACACAUGUGUGCUUCUGUUCUCCAUGGAAAUUGGCAGGAAAGAACUGUAUGCUGGUAGAACAUCCCAAAUUUUCUCAUUUGCUCCCAAGAUUUCCUGCGCUUAUAGGGUUGCAAAUGGAUUGUUUCUGGAACAAAUGAACACAGAAAUUAUAACAGAACUUCCACUAGAUUCCCCUGUAUUUCCAGAAGUGGCUUUUAUGUCAUGUGAAAGCUCAAAUGUAAUACUGAAAUGGACAAUGAAAUGUUGGGGGGAUGGAAUAAACUACCAUCCAAAUGCACCCUUGAUAAGGGAUACAUAGAGAGAAGCAUAGAAAAUGCUAAUAAAGAGAAAGAGACAAGCCAGAAGAAUAGCAAUUGUAUUUUUUCUCAUCGGGAAAAGAGACAAAGCACAACUAAGAAAGAGGUUCGUCUAUUUUCCAUUGAAGCCAACGACAACAUAAUUUGAAUGAUUCUAGCUUCUGCCCUAAGACUGAAAUACCAAAUAUACUUACUAGAGAGUAAGUGCCAUUGAAAACAGUGAGACCUACUUCUGAGACGAAGUAUCCCUAGACUUGCACUACACAGUCUCCUGUCUUGAAAACUGCAGGUGCAAACUACAGAAUUGCUUCCAUCAGCAUGGUUAAGCUGCAUUAAAACCUUGGAUUGUUUGAAGAAGUUCUAUAUAGAGUAUAAACAGAUAUUUACAUGCAUAUCUAUGGAGAAUCAGAUUAGAGAAAAAAGUAAGAGUUCAAGAGAAACAGCUGAGGAUCACUCCAUAGCCUGAAGAAGUCCCAAUUAAGUAGAAUUACUGUUGCAAUUAAGCAGAAUCCUUGCCAUUAAUCACUGAACUCAAAUACUCCCUUUGGGUAACACUCUUAUUAAAGUUUCUUCAUAGCUUAUUUUCUUAUCUGUCUAGAAACCACACGGAUCCCUCCCCCCCAAAAGUAAGUUUCCGAUAUUGUCAUGCGUACAUAUGCAUCUAACUUUGAGCUAAGAGUGCUUCCAAUGGAGUCAAGUGCAUACUUACAUUUUUGGAGUAUCAGGUGCUAAAUGAAUAAGUAAUUCUCCUUACCAGAAGUGUGAUAAAUUAAAUGGAAUGUUUUAUUGCUGUGUGCUGGAUCAUGAGCUGGAGUCAAGCUUCAACUUUCCCACAGAAAAAUGCAAGGAAGUUUAACAUUGUGUUCAGCUCAUGUUUGAUUUUAAUAGCAGGCCUUAAUGUCUAUGUCAGGAGCAAAUGCAGAAUUCAGGCUGGAUAGAUCUGGAGAUUCACCAACUACAGCCAGAUGCAAAAUGGUGGCACAAGUAGACAGCAAAGCCUGACCACCAUUACACCAAGAGGUGUGUCAGAUUAUUUUUUUAUAGAAUGGUAAAACAAACAAGAACUCUGAAGAUAGCUCACUGUCAGAAGCUGUCAAUGUGUUUUGCUUGAGGUAGUCUACCCAAGUCAUCUCAAACCUGGUGCUCUCUAGAAAUAUGAUUUGGACUACAACUUCCAUGAACCCCAGCCAGCAUGGCUGUGUUAGCUGGGACUGGUGGGAGUUGUAGUCCAAAACAUGUAGAGGGCACUAGAUUGGGGAAAGCAUCAAAAAACAAAACAAAACAAAACAAAACAAAACCUUCAUAGUAGAGUUGCAUUACUAAAAUCAAUGUAAUUUUCACUAACCUGCUUGUUCACAUUAUAAUGAGUCUCACUCUUUUUUAAAAUCCAGCAUGUGGAUAUAAGUUGGAUAUUAAUAAUAUAUAGCUCAUAUGCAAUGAAGCACAUAGACAUAUGUUCAGCUUGGGGCAAUAGGAAUAUGUAACAGUCUCCUCCACUGGUAGUAUAAUGGGAGUAUGUAUAACAUUAAGAAAUGUCAGGCCCAGAACUGCGAUCAUCUAGAUCUGGAUGCAGCUAUCCUGUGUGGCAAGACACCAGGUUGACAGGCUGAAUGGUUUCCUUUCAACUUCUACUUUGUAUCACUUUCUUAAAAGUCUUUCAAUAUAUCCUCUGUAUGUAAAAGAUCAGUAGCAAGAGCAAUGCAAAUGAGGGCAACAUGGAUGUUGCCACAACACAACACGUCUGUCAAUAAUUCUCUUCCAGAACAGGAGUUGAAUGAGCACUGUUUCAACAGAUGUAGUAUCUAGAUAAUUGCUGUCAAAAUUCCUUGGGACCAAUAUGAUUAAUCUUGUAAGUUUUCAAGACAAACCUCCCAUGCUUUGCUACUUUCAGUGAGUGUCUUAUGAUAAACAAAAUCUUAUAUCCACAAUGACUAUAUUUGGAUCCAGUAAAGAUGCUAUGAGGGAAAUGUUAUGUGUGCUCUUGUUAGUUCAUGCAAUGUUGGAAAUGUACUUGGUCUUUUAUUCCUUCUGAGGGCUCGAAUACUGAAUAAUAUUCAGCCAUCUUGGAUUUGUGCAUGGUGAGCAGACAUCAUACUUGCAAGAGUGGCAACAUGACUUUUCUGACACAGAUAGAUCAUUUCUAUCCGAAACAGAGUUUUGCUGUUUACAUCAAUGAGAUGCCUAUGAUGUCAACAAAAUCUAUAUAGCUUAUUGGUCAGGGUAUAACAUGUUACUACACAUACCUGAUAGAGGAUCAAGAAAUACAGUCAUGGUUUGCAGAGUGAUAUCUCAGACCAGGGGUCACCAAUGUCCACAAAUGUCCACAGAUGCCUUCUAUAGUGCCCACGGUGUCCUUUUCCUCCCCUGUACCCUCCACACUGACAUUGGGCUUGAAAGAAGCACUCUUCUAUAGCCAAUGGAAUCGACUGUGGUGUGUUCUUGGUUGGGAGGUAUGUGUGGUGCCCAGAAGAGAUUCUUUGGUUUGUAAAUGUGCUCCCAGCCCCAAAAGGUUGGCAACUCCUGUUUUAGCCAUCAGCUUCCAAUAAACUAGCAUUUUCCAUUUGGCCUGCCUGUAUUUCAGUUUAUCUUUCCUAACAGUUCAUUUGACAAUAAGUAAUAUGAUUAUUAAUCUUUCCUGUGUUUUUAUAACUGUAGCUUUAUGAUAUGCCAAGUGUUUAAAGUUCACAUGACAGGUAUAAUGAAAGGUUUGGGAAGAAAACACAUCAUACAGUGGCGAGUUCAACAUAAUUAGUAGGUGGCAGCUCCUAAAGCUCACUUGGCAGAAAUAAAUGAGAGCCUAUAUUGAGGUUGUCAGGGAACUGCCAUCAGUACUGGAGGGGGAGAGCGAAAGCCAGAGGGAUUCCAGAGAGCGUCCCGGGAGCAGCCCAUCUUCUGGGGAAGAGAAUCAGCGUAGCACCAGGGGAGAAGGGGGGCAGCUGGAGGAAGUGACGAGGCUGUCUCAUGACUCCUUGCCUGGGACCAGCGGGGAGAGUAGGGGUCCUCCGUUGCCCAUGCCCUCCCUGCACAGAAGGCUUCCGUGCAGAGAGGGUAGGCGGAGACUAGGCAUCAAAGAAAUUCUUUGCUGGAAGAAGUUUAAGAAACGCCCACUCAUGGAUUCUGCCAGCGAUUGAGUCAGCCACGGGUGAGUGGCUGUCCGUACAGAAAAGGUUCACUUUGGCAACCCAGCCAGGUGUUUGCACCCAGCCGGGGAGAUAGGCACCUGCUUACGCACAAGCAACCCCUAGAACCAUUACAGAGGUGAUGAAAGAAAGAAAGAAAGAAAGAAAGAAAGAAAGAAAGAAAGGAAGGAAGGAAGGAAGGAAGGAAGGAAGGAAGAAGAGCCUAUAUUGAGGUGAAGAAAGGAAGAAAGGAGGGAGGGAAAGGGAAAGGGAAAGUGAAAGGGAAAGGGAAAGGGAAAGGGAAAGGGAAAGGAAGAUUUCUGUGCAGAUUUUCUUUCUUGUGUGUAUCAGGUUCAUUAGUUACUUCAGAACAAAACAACAAAAAUACUAGUUACAGUACAUUGGCGACCUUUUUGGUUUCAUGAACCAGCUCCUUUCUCCUUAGUGCACUGACCCAAGCUGUCAGCCGACUGGUGACAGUAAGCAUUGACCAAAGGGCACCCUGGGAGUCUGUGGCCUGACCUGUACGUAAGUUCACUUAGGCUACCAAAGUGACCCAAAGGGACAAGUUCUAAAUGUUUUAGACUGCAACUUCCAUAAUCCCUGGCCAUUGGCCAUGUGAGUGUUCUGUCCAGAGGUUCUCCAUUUCUUGGGAUAAGGAAAGAGAGAGAAUGUAUCAUAAACAGCAAGUUACUGAGAAGGAAGAGUUCGACUGCAUACAGAGCUGGGAGACAGAAGGAGCUUAGAAAGAAAGCAGAGCAGCUUGUAAUGUGUGGGUUAUGGAAAAAGCAUAGGAGCUAAGCAGACAGAGGGAGUAACAGAGAAGUAAGCAAACAACAAACAUAGGUUGUAUAUGCAUCCAGGAAUAGUCAGAUUUAAGAAUCUGGACCCAGUGAGUGCAGCUUCCAAAAGGGACUGUUUGAUUAUGAACAUGUCUACGGUGGGGAGUGUCUUUUCAACUCAGCUACCUCGGGAUACACAUGAAGGAAAACUUGAAGAAAAGUCACUCCAUGCCAAUAUCUGCUGAGAGAUAUUUGGGAAUGGAAUAAACUUUUGUACCUCAUGUAUUUUAUGUCAAGAGAGGAGCUCUCCCUUAAUUAACAACCAUAUUAUAUGUAUUAUUUGGUGAGAGAACUUUUCUGCUAGUGCACAGAACAAAGAGGAGCAAAUCAUUACUUAUUUAUUUAUUGGUAAAAACAAACCAAGAAUUGUGUGCAACACAAUAGCUUGAGGCACACAAAUGGAUGGGGUGGAAUUUGAUGCGCCUCCCAGAAUCCAUGUCAUAAUACAAAACUUUUCUUUUUUAAGAUAGAGAAAUAAAAAAAAAAAUACUAACGCCCAUCACCAGCAUCUCAGGAGGACACCUUGAGGGAUGCUUUGAUGAAAGGGAUUUUGAGGAUGGGGGCAAAGAGUCUCAAAAUGAGGUGUCCUGCUGAGCUAGCUAGCAUUCAUUUUAUUCAUUUCAGUGGAUCAUCUGCGGAGUUCUUAUGUGGGUUCCAUCAGAAUUGAUGGAAGCUAAAGGCAACUGCAGUGUUUUCUAGACUGUAUCCUUUACCACAAAUAUAAUCAGUGUAAAUCCAACAACCACUACAAAACAAGUGCCUUCCAUUUUGUCAGCUUUCUCAAAACCAUUUUUAACAGAACAAAUCCCAGUGGUUUCAAGGAAAUUCUGCUAAAUAUCAGAAUUAUGCACAAAUAAUGUGAUGUGCAAACAAUCGGAGCUAGGGAAAUUGCCCUUAAACUGGCUAAGCCCCAUUGACUUCAGUGGGACUGAACACAGAAUCACUGACUCAUAGAAUUGCACAGUUGAAGGGACCCUGCAUUACCUGCUAGUGGAAAUGGUUCAUGGCUUGAAGGCUGCAGCUGCAAUCUAUAAGCAAGUCGCUUCAGAAGAAUGGUAGAGCAGUUUCUCAGAGGUCAAUGGAACAUCACUGGGAUUAUUUCCGUCAACGUGGUCUGUGGAUUUGCAGUCUGAGCGCCCAACAGAGUAGAAAAUUUAAAAGGUCAUGCAGUAUUUAAAAGGGCCUCUAGUAGCUCUUCUGUAUCUCGAACCUUUAAGGGUAACAACUGUGCCUUAUUUCAAAGCUGGAAAAAAUAAUAUUUCCAGUAGACUAAACAUGCAGCUUCUAUUCUUGUGGAUGUAUGAGAUUUCAAGCAUCCCAUGGUGACUAUUUAAUGUCAAGAACAGAUUUAUUAUGGAAUGUAUAGAAUGGUAGGGGGAUGGAAAAGAGACUGGCAGAGUUAAAAGAGAUCAAAAUGCAAUCGAAGUGGCAUUCACACAGCAGUUUAUUCCAUAUCCCCAAAGUUUCUCUAAUUGUUAAUUUCCACAUUGUAAGUGGGAAAUGGAAUAAACAGCUGUGUGGAUGCAGAGCUAGUCAAACCUCACCAUUCUAUGGAGGAACUUUAGCCCUAUUCAAUCCAUAGAGAAGGUUGUAUAGGUACAUACCUUAGAGGACAGAAUGAGCGCCUGUAAAAACUUCUCUGACUUUCUUAUACCUAAUAAAGAUGGGUUCAUGUUUGGGCACAGAACCUGUACUUUUAGGCCAGCUGGGAUUGAUAUGUUUUAUGGCUAUUUCACAGACUGAUUGCCAAGUCACAUAACCUUGACACAAUAAACUCUCUCUCUCUCUCUCUCUCUCUCUGUGUGUGUGUGUAUAGAUAUAUGUAAUUUCAUUUUGAGACAGCUCUAUCUAGGCAUAUUGGCACCAAUUUUAAUUGAUUACACCACCAUUUUCCUCAGCUUUCCUAACAGACAUGAUACAGUGCUCUACCUCAAUCACUUUAAGAGCAACCUACUUCAAAAAGCUUAUCAUUUCAAUUUUUCACACAUUCUGUUUGUGGGUGUGGGUGUUCAGUAUUUCACUCUUAUCUCAUCUCACAGCCCACUGCGGUAAGCCGGUAUUCCUUAACAAUAGCCCUUUUCAAUCUCAGACCUAAUAAAAAGGGAAAAAUGUGUAUCACAAGAAGAGAAAGUUGCCUAUUUCUUUUUAUUAUUAAACUCUCCCAUUGUUUUACUGAUAAAGAAGACUGCCACUUGAAAGGAAGGCUGCCUUUGUAUUAGCUGCAAUCAUUCUGACACUAAUGAGAAUUCCCCACCAUCUCGGUAUAUACAAGACCCAACUACAAAACAUGUACAUGGAUGAUGAAUUCAGGUCUUCCACCCCUACUAUUCUUACAGAAAUCAAGACAGAAUUUAUUCACAACUCCACCUUUUAUUGUAAUGCCUUCCCCCCACUUCUUUGCCUUGCAAAGAAUUUUGGCCAUUGCUAUGAUUAUGCAAAUUCUGUGGAUCACACGUUAGAAUUUCAUGCAAACCAUAUUCUUAAGCAAGAAGUGAGACAUGGGGCAUAUGUUUUUAUGUUUCUGCAUUAGUUCUGGUCAAAGAUAUUAUUUACAUCUCAUAUGUUAACAACCUUAUCAGAAUGAAUCAGAAUGGAACAUUGCUGAAUACCUCUUUCAAUACGUUGCUUUCAUCUAGCCCAUGAACGUGUAGCCACAUCAUGCUGCCUCUGAUGUCACUGGGAGCAUGGUGAUGCUUGGAGUCCUCCCAUCACAGAACCUUCACAGCUACCGCCACUGCUUCCCACCUUCUCUUUCUCAAAGCAAUCUGUUGGCAGAAGUUCACAAUAGGCCCUCCAUUAGGCUGUAAAUAAGGCUCCUGUAAGAAAAGAACUGCAUGCCCAUUGCCUCUGGGGAAAAAAUAAUACUAGAAAUGUGCAUUCUCAGAUCAGUCAUACAAUCUGAAAAGCUGGCCCAAGUUGGAAAAUUUCUUAGUGAUGCAAAGAUGUAGUCAAGUCUGAUUCGCUAGUAAAGAGCAUUGUGAUGCCUUGUUACUUAGUAUGUGGCCCUAAAUUGCCUAGGAUUUACCCAUAUGUCUGAUCCAGGAAACAUUACCCUCUUGCUCAGCUGUCUUUGCUCAUCCUCUGUGAUAUCAAUUUGUGGCCAAAUACUGAAAAUAUCCAUCUUAACAUUUCAAAAUAUAAGAAUAUAUUAGGGCCAUUUAUAGCCAAAAUAGCAAGUAUAGAUAUAGUGAUCAAAGCACAUGUAUCAAGCCAGGUUAACUGAACGAUGGGAAUGAAUGCCAAGCUUAGGAUGACUAUUCUAAAAAGUUUCCUAUCUGAUUUCGGUACAGAGACUUUUCUGGUGUGCAGCAGUGGUUAGAGGUUUGGAUCCAGACUAGGGAAUCCUGGGUUCAAAAUCCCAUUCAGUUAGGGAAGCUCACUGGGUGAGCUUAAACCACUCACUUUAUCUGAGCUUAAGCUACCUCACUAGGUUAUUGGGGAGAGAUAAAAGGGGAUGGAGAGUCAUCCUGUAAAGAUGGGUGGGAUCAAAAUGAAGUAAAAAAGGGGAGCACAAUUGAGUAGGAGACUGGGAAGCCAAUGUGAUCUCUGCACAACUGUGUGUGGAAUCAGAUGAAGUCUGAGGUCUAAUGUGCUGUCCUCACUGAAGUCAAGGUCACCUUCUGCUGUGCAGGUUGCAGUUGUCCUCCAGAAUCAGUGUCCCAUGUAAGAUGAAUUGGGCCUGUCCAAUUUCAUUUUAUCCCUAAUAAGGUUAUAUAUCACAACAGCUGGAUGAGGUUGAGGAGUAUUUCUUAUGGCUAAGAGUGGAAAUGCAUUCAGUCAGAGUAGGCAGUGGCGGGCUAGAUGGCCAGACAGUGUAUAUGACCUGGUGUAUAAGGUGGCUUCCAAUUCUGUGUCAUGCAAAUAUGCAGGCUCCAAAACCACAGACUCAGAAAGGGAAAGAAAGGAAUGGAAACAUCAUUGUGUGUGAAAUGGCACAGGGUGAUCAAAAUGUGAAAUUGUUGUGCACUGUGUAUGUGUGUGUGUGUAAGAGAGAGAGAGAGAGAUUGUAUGGUAGCUAUUGCACUAUGCUCUGCAAUACAGUGGUACCUCGGGUUAAGAACUUAAUUCGUUCUGGAGGUCCUGAAACUGUUCUUAACCUGGGGUUCCACUUUAGCUAAUGGGGCCUCCUGCUGCCGUCGUGCCGCCACCACACAAUUUCUGUUCUCACCCUGAAGAAAUGUUCUUAACCCAAGGUACUCUUUCUGGGUUGGUGGAGUCUGUAACCUGAAGCGUCUGUUACCUGAAGCGUCUUUAACCCGAUGUAGCACUGUACUGGUAUUGUGAUGCUCAGAUCCUCCAUAAACCUUUGUGCCUUGUCCUGAUACUGCCCCCCUUUCCUUUGCUUCCUCAUUACUUGGUCUUGCAGCAACUAGCAACCCUGGCUAACCUACUUUCCACAGGGUGCCUUAGGAUAGACAAUAGGCAGCAGGUGAUCUACAUAUUCCAGAGCUCUUUGUUGUCUGCAAGGUAAAUAACAUGUUCCAGGGAUGCUGCAGGGAAUCUUGAGGCAGGGGAACCUUCAGGGUGAAAGGAGAGCGAAACUGUUGAGGUUCCUUUAAUUGCUGUUAGAAAAAAACAUCUGGUGCACCUGCAGGUCUUGUGGUCAGUGUUUGAAGGCCAAGAAUGUCACUCUGAUCUGACAACUGGCCAAAAAUGAGGUCAUCCUUGGGUAAAUUAAGAGGGUUGGUACAUUGCCUUUCUUUCUUGCUUCACUGCCUGCUAUCUCUGCCCAAUUGGCAUUGAACUCUGUACCGUAUGUAUGCUGUGAGUUGUUGUGCUUGCUUUGCAUUUGAAGCUUGCACCUUCUACUAGAGAUCUAGUGCAACCCUUCACUUGUAUAUGCACAUAGUGAAACUGCCUUAAUGUUCUGGACCUUCCAGUAAAGGAUUGAACUGACUGAAAAUCUGAAGUCUGACUAAGUUUUUUUAGCACAAAGUACACUGUCACGAACCUAUAUGCUUGGAGAUACUGCACACAUUUGGCAUAUGCCCUCCUCCAACCGAAACUGCCUGACCCCUUUCUCAUCUUCAGGAGGUGGAAGUUUUCUGGGGGUGGCAGGCACUACUCCCUAUUUUUCAAAAUCCAUUGUAACAUGACUUAGGUCACAUCUGCACUAUACAUUUAAAACAGCAUCAUACCACUUUAAACAGUCAUGACUUCUUCCAAAGAAUCUGUUCACCUGUGGUUUUCUGAAAUAUCAGUUUCUAGACUAGGCAGUGUGAUGUUGCACUCAGGUCCUGCAUGAGGCCUUCCAUCAGGCAUCUGGUCAGUCUCUGUCUAGCAUAAGAUGCUUCUUGGGCUUUUAAGAAUAGGAACUGUAGUUUUUUUAUGGGUGCUGAGAUUUUCAGAGUGGUUUCCUCUUCCCAGGAAACUCUGGAAAUGGUAGUUUUGUGAGGGGACUAGAGGUCUCUUAUUGCCUAUUGGUUGUCCAUGGCCCUUGGCUCCUGGAUCACUUCCGACUGGUGUUCACAGCCUAGCCCUGACACUCUGAAACAUGCAAUAUUCUGGUUGCCUGUUAUCCACACUUGGGUGCUCUGCGAAAAAAUUACAUCUCCCAGGUUCCCUGGUGCCUUAUUCUGCCGUCACAACUAGUUUAGAUGAUCAUCCAAGUUGGAGAUGAACCUUUGGGGAGAAUUACAGUCAUUUUGACAUAUUGUACACAUUACAAGCUAGACAAAUUUGUUUUCUGAACCAUGUGAUGACAUUCUUUCAGUCAACGUUGCCAAUUUCCAAGGCCACGUGGACACCUGCAUAUUGAAUUUAGCAGUUGGACAAAAGCAUCACAGCCAGUUCUCCUUCAGCUGCUUGCACUGUGAUGGGAGGGUAAAUAGAAUACUGUAUAUUGCAUAGUCACAAAACAUCUUUUUAAAAGCCUCUUUUAUCUCCACUCCUUCUCAAGUUUCUGUCUAACUUGCUUUGGAAUUGCCACAGACGGAUGAUAAAUAGCAAUAUCAAAGUCCCUUUCCCAGGUAGUUUCAUCAGCUGUUGAAUAUCCUAUCUGCAUUUUUCAGAUACCAUGUGGAUCCAAUUACCUCCAUGCUCCUACAUACUUUGGGUACUGCUGCAACAUUAAGGCAUAUUCUACAUGAAUUUGAGUUUUUUUCUUCAGUGGCUUUUGCCUGGUGACAUUAGGAUUCCUUGUCAAUCAAAACACAGAAAAAAUUGCCUCUUGCUGUGCCACUGAGACCAAACUGUCACAGAGAAAAAUAUCACACAGCACAAAAGAUGUACCUUUUUGAUACAACAUGAUUAUCGUGAUCUCAUAUUUUGUUGUGGUUUCUAUUGAUUAUUCCCUUUCUGGUGUUUUUUUUCCUUGCAGAACAGAGUUCGUACUUUGAUGCUUUUCUUUGAUAAAGUUAUAAAGCUGCCUUGAAGAUUUCAAAUCUGUCAUGGGACUGCUCCCUUCACAAAGAGUGUGUUGCAAAUGAUGUCCCCCAUUCUUCAGAAAACAGGCUGUUCGCCUCUCAAUCAGCCAAUAUUAUCCUACCAUGUAGGAAGUCUGUCUUUUUCAUCUCUGUUUUUCAUUCUGUUCUACUGAAAUAUUAACUGGGCAAUAUAAUACUGCUGACAUGCUGUUUGCUCUAUACACCUCCAAUGCAAUUUAUUGCACUAAGACUCCUAUGGAAUGCAAAUCAAUUCCCUAGUCAUCUCUUCCUUUUGAAUGCUAGUUGGCAACUAAUUUUUAACAGAAGCCAUAUUUUGAACUGAUUAAGGGUUGAAGGGCAAGCAACGCUGGCUCUGCCACCUUGAUUCACUCUACAGAUGGCAUCAACGUUUGAGAAUAUCUGGCUCAAAAUACGAUUUAUCCAGCUUGCAAUAUGUGUCUGUAUUUCAUGGUGGGAUCUUUUGCCCCUGAAAAUGGUCUUCUGCAAUGUAAAUUAAGAAUAUUAUGAGCUUAUUUUGUCCCUUCAUGGUGUGAAUUCCUCAGACUAGGUGUUCAAAAAAGGCAGUAGCUGUGUUGACAGUUAGUUGGCACAAGUUCUUUCACUGCUGAAAUUAACUUUAUCUCAUAAUGGGUACAUAAUGUACAGAUCAAUACCAUGGUUUUUCACGUACAUGCCGUAGGCAUUUACAUUCAUCAUAUUAAUGUGACUCAAAAAGCAAGGAAAACAACACACACACACACACAACUGUAUAUGGCAACCCUAAUAUAUGGCUGAGGGCUCUUGUGAACAGAAAACUAAACAACCAACCAGUUUUGAAAAUUGCCAUCGCCACUAAUUCAAUUACCAACAACGGGAAUGGUGUAAUGGACCAGAUUGGGGCCCCCAUAUGGCCUAAUUAAGUCUGUGGGUCAGAGGUAUCCCCACCCCAGUAGAAGGAAUCAAACUUCAAUAACUUCUGAGUUCCUUUCCAAUUAUUCCAUUGCUCUGUAAGAUAGAAUAUCAAUUCUUUACAGGAACAUGACUAGUGUUUCAUAACUUCAAAGGAAAGAGUGCUUGGUUGUGGAGUCAUGUUGACAUGUGUCACAGACAUUAGCCCCACUACUAAUAAUGGCCAUAUAAAUAUGACAACUUGUUGGAGGGACCAGAAGCUGAGUGGCUAUGCUUUGCAUGCAAGAGCCUCAAGUUGGAUCCUUGCCAUCUCCAUGGUUAUUUAUUUAUUUAUUUAUUUAUUAAAAAUCGAGUAGGAGGUGGUUUGAGCUUCCCUCUGCCUAUGACCCUGGGCAGCCACUGCUAGCCAGAGUAGACAAUAUAGGGCUAGAUAGACCUGACAUAAGGCAGUUUCCUGUGUUAGGACUGCUGGUGGUAUUCAUGGCAGCUCAGGGUAGAUUUCCAGAACUGUUGCAGCUACUACAAACAGAUGAUUGUAAAGUAGUAUCACACUGUAGAAGAUUGUGUACAUUUUAUUGCUAGCCAUGACCCUAGCACUGAACGAGAGAGACAUAUGAGAGAACUCAUGGGAAACACUUUGAAGUCCAAUGCUGCAGCUUCCAGGUGGAAUUAAGUUCCAGCCCUUCUCAUAAGAGAAAUCAACCAGUGUUCACAGAAGGAACUUUAUGUUAAUUUUAAAAUGAAUGAUUUGAAACAAAAUUCUGCAUUUUUUAAGUCCCCCAGCUACCUGUAGCUUCAUUCCCUUACAAUUCAGGGAAAGGAGCCAAUUCAGGGAAGGGGAGAGGGGGGAAAACCCCCACAUUCAUUACCACAAACAUGUCAGCUUUGCACUGCACUGACAGCCUGCAAAAAAAGGAAAAAACCCUCUUCUGAAAUGCUUGACUUGUGUGUCACAGUUCUAUUAUUUGGGGCUGGUUGUGCCCUGACACAAGGCUGUAUGAUGCUUUGCCCGUCAUCAGCACAGUGUGACCGGAAUAAUUCUGGUGAGGCUUUAAAAUAUGCAUUCAGCCGUGUAAGAAAAAUCACCAGCUGCAUUUCAGCCUGCGGCCCACGUCCUGAGAUAAUUCUAAAAAUGCCCACUCCUUGAAAAUAUUAAGUGCUUGACCACUUGAAAGAGAACAUGCUGCAUUGCUACUUAACUGUUACAUUGCAUUUAUUGAACGAUGUUAUAGAUAAGGAUGGACAAACCUGUCUGUUUGGGGUGCUCUUGUUUUCUCAUCCCCCCCCCAAGCUUAUUUGCCAUUCACCACAUUUCUGCAUCUCUGAGCUUCCUUUUUUAAAAAAUCCUAGCAGAAAUUUGUCAGCACUUUAUACCACAUUUUAUAGGACAUCAAUGGCUGUUAGCCAUGAAAGUCAUGCUCUUCCUUCAGGGCUAGAAACAGUAAUGAUUCUGAAUGCCGGUUGAUGGAUACUCCAGGAUGGGCGAGUGCUUGGGACUUGCUUGCGGGUUUUACCACAGGCAUCUAGUUGGCCACUGUGAGAACAGGAUACUAGACUAGAUGGGCUACUGGCCUGGUCCAACAGGCUGUUCUUAAGUUCAAUUAUCCUAAAAUACACAUUUUUAAUGUAAUUUUACAUCAUGCACAUUUUUUUGGCAAGCAUUUCUCCCUAAUAAAAUGCAUUGUUAUGUGUUGCUUUCACCAAUGUAUCCGCUUUUAGGCACCCCCCCCCCCCAAUAUAUAUACUUUCCUGCGCAUUCUUUGGUUGUACAACUGUCAAAUUAUGAAUGGUAGCUGCAUUUUGGUUCACUCUUUGUGAAAAUUAGCUAGGGUUGCCUUAAAACUAAAUUAAACUUCUGGCCCUUCCCUAGAUACUGCAUUUAUUGGAUAAUCAUUCUGCAAAAUAUUUUAAUGUUGAAAGGCAUUUUAGCCCCACACCCACCAUUUUGCUGCUUUUGUAAUAAAUUGUGAACAUCGGCAGUUCAUAGCUGAAGACUACAUUUAUCCUCCUCAGCCCAAACACUAUUAAAAUGCAAGACUUUUCAAGAUGUCUCUCUCAUCUGUCACACUCAAGAUUCACAGAGUGUAGUCAGCACGCUAUGACAUGAUUUGCAUUCACAGCAUAACCUGUACAGUUAAACCUUCACAUUUUAGUGUCAAGCCAUAAAAAAACCCCGUACUGUACUGACCAAAUGUAUUUCCUAGAAUAUUAAAUCUCUCAUGAACUUCACUACUUUCAAACAGAUGUUAUUACAUAUUGUGAAUACCAAGCGAUUUCUGUUUAUGCUCAUUUUCUGUUGGGAUUUAUGCCCUAUAAAUCUGCUCUGAUCAAUUUCAAAUGCCUCAAGAGUUCCCAUUUCUACAGUCAUAAAGCAAUCCAAAUCUAAACCUGCUUCUUUUACUGCAAGAACCCCUGCCGCAUAGGUUAUCUGACUGAUAAUAUUUUCUCCCUCUCUCUCCAGGAACUUGGGCAUAAGAUACAGCUUUUGGAGACGAAAAUACACAGUGGUUAGAGAAAAACACUCCCACUUUGUUUACAUCUGAAUUAGUAGGUGGCAGUGGUGGUCAGAAGGGCUUAUUCUUCAACGUAGGCUGGUGUGCCAGCUGCACAUGCUCCUCCUGAGAAAGUCAGACUAGACUGUGGUAUCAGGGGCAGAGUGAGGACGUUCCGCGGGGCCUCUGAGGAGUCUGCCUGUUCCUCCCACUGAGUCGUCCUACAGCUGGGGGGGAGGCAGCGGGCGGACUGGGUGCCUGCGGGCACCCAAGCCACCAUGUCACACCCAGGAGAGACACAUGGCUUGGGCGUGCAGCAGGCCCCACGGUGAGUGCUGCCCGGCAUUUUGUCACCCCCCUCAGUGGUGACACCCGGGGCUGCCCACCGCACCCCCUUCUUCCGCCCCAGUAUGGUAUCACAUAUCUUAGUCACAUCAAGAUUGGAUUACUGAAAAGUGUUCAAACACUUGUAAGGAUUGUAUGAAAUGUAUGUUUGUGUUUAAAAAAAAAAAAAAAAAGAUUGGAUUACUGAAGUGCUCUCUCUCUAUAUAUGGUUAGCUGUGAAGAGCCUUGUUUGUAGAUUAUGUUCCAAACCAGGCAUCAUCUCCUUCUCAAAGGCAGUGUGGGAAAAGAGAAAGACCAUUAGCCACUCAUGGUUUUUUGGGGGUGGGAACUAUUUUUAACUAACUAUAUCAGGUUUCAAAUUAACAUCUUUUUUGUCAAUCUGAUUCCUGAUUAAGUGGGGUAUCUUUUCAACGCAUUAAUUGUUUUUAUGGAUUAAUGUUGUGAUUUGGCAUCAGGCACAUAGAAGGACUUGUGCUCUCAGUACAGCCUAGCCUCUGGCUCUCUGGGCCCUCUCUUAUAGACUAGGAGAAAGCCAGCUGCAAUCCUGCCUUAAGAGCCCUGAUGGGCAGCUGUAUAGAACCUUAUUCACAACGCUUUUGUGACUUUGAACCCCUAAGAAAGGUCCUAGGAUGAGGGGAACCUGAUGCUCUUCCAGCAGAAAGGAAGGCCUGCAGACAUGACUAAAUGUGCAUCAUGUAGCACACAGAUGCCUCAACUAAAAACAAAGAUGGGGAUGUUUUUCCCCAUAAUAUUGUUGGAUGAACAACUGAUUCAACUUCAUAUGUUUAUUAAAUUAGCUUUCCUUUAGCUGGUUGAUACAUUCCCAGCCCCUCCAGGUGCCCCUAUUUUCCAGGGACAGUGCUGGAUUUACAGAAGCUGUUCUGGUUUCUGAUGUGAUCCUGGAAUGUGCCGCUUUUCCUUGGGACAUCCCUAUUUUCAUCAGCUAAAUGUUGGAGGGUAUGGGGUUAUGUGACUCUUGAACCAAGGAGAUAAGUAACUACAACCUUUAGAAGACAUCUGAAAGCAGUUUUUUUAAAAAAGUUUAAUGUUUUGUUAUAUUUUUAUAUAUGUUGGAAGCUGCUCGGAGUGAUUAAUAAUAUUAAAAUUAUGAUUAUGAUGAUCGAAUUAGGAUGUCCCUAUUUUUGUUGGAGAAAUGUUGGAGGGUAUGCAUUUCCAGGUGGGGAUAACAUCUCUGGAACAAAGAACAAAGGCUUGCCACUGGAAAUAAUGAAGAGGGAAAAAGCACUAAACAAAAGAAAACCAGUGCACUUAUUGUGUCUAUAUGGGUUANNNNNNNNNNNNNNNNNNNNNNNNNNNNNNNNNNNNNNNNNNNNNNNNNNNNNNNNNNNNNNNNNNNNNNNNNNNNNNNNNNNNNNNNNNNNNNNNNNNNCAAAGGAAAUGGAAUACUCAGGAUGAAACGGUGAAAUCUGCUAUGAUUAAAUGGGCACAAGAUGUUGGACAUAAUAUUAUGUUUGCUGACUGGGAACAGUUAUGGACCACAGGUAUGAAGUUUACGGCAUGUAAUGCCUUAAGAGAGAAUAUUAUGAAAAUGAUAUACAGGUGGUAUAUGACCCCAGUCAAGCUUGCAAAAAAUCUAUCAUUUGCCCGAUAAUAAAUGGUGGAAAUGUAAAGAAACUGAAGGUACAUUCUUUCACCUUUGGUGGACGUGCCCAAGGAUUAAGGCUUUCUGGG
rnacentral:lncRNA from 1 species